UCAGCUGAAGUAGCCUCCCAAGAUUCUCAAGGUGAUAACAACCAUCAUUUAUAAAAGUACAUCUUUCCAUAGAAAGAAUUCUCAAGCCUUGGAAGCUUGAAAGAAAUGAUCUUCCGUUGACACGACACAUGAUGGCAUUAAAUGACCUCACUUGAUGUAUCUGUGUGUUAUCUGAAUUAGGCUCUUCGUCCAUGGCUAUGUUUUGAAAAGCUAACCUACGGACAUUGCUUUGUGAAGGUUGGGGUUCAUUGUUACUACUACCAUGGAUAGUAACAAAAUUUUCUUCCUUCGACAAGUAACAUAUCAUAUCAAGCACCAGAUCAUGCACACAACAAGCAUAUAUGAUGCUCUUAUAUGGCUCCUCCACCGGCUGGAUCAAACUUCUGUUAAUGAGUUCAUUAAAAUACCUCUCCCCGAGCUCAAAUAACCCCACCCCUGGUUUCUCAUGAACAAAACCUUCUGCCACCCACUUCCAUAUCAAAGUGUUUUUCUGAAUCUUGUGAUCUUCAGGAUAUAUGCUGAGGUGCAACAAACAUGCCCUUAGAUAACAAGGCAGAUCAUAGUAGCUAUAUAGCAAUAUCUCUCUUGUGUUGUCGACGUGUAUGUUAGCUCCAUCUCCAAAACCAAUAGAGUCAUACACCUCAGACCAAUCCUCCCAUGGUUUACUGGCCAACAGACUAGCUAUUGUGAUGAUAGCUAACGGCACACCACCGCACUUUUGUAAAAUCUUUCCAGAUAUCUCAAUAGGUUGACCAGAAAUAAUUUUGCAUUUACCAAUAGAUAAUCUUGUAUAGAAUAAUUCCUUGGAUGUGGCGGAAGAAAGUGGCUUUUGCUUGUAAACAUCGUCCGCCUCUUCGGCAACUUCAAAAAUACGAGUGGUUGUGAUUAUUCUACUUCCACAGUUACUAUCAAUCAAAGCAUAUUUCAUUAUAUUCCAUGAACUCUUGUCCCAUAUAUCAUCAAUGACGAUGAGGUACCUGUUGAAUAUGGCAGCCAUGAUAGCCAUGCAUUAGUUAAAGAAUAUGUCUGAGCGUAGUAGAAGAAGAAGAAAAGAAGGAUGGCGACCCACACGAUGAUGAAUCCGUGGAAAGACAAGGUAAAUGAAGGAGGCAGGGGUUGUUACUAGACAAAAGCAUGCCAGGGGUUUGAUUCACAGUUCAAUCUAAUUGAUUUGUGGUUAAUUUGACUAAAAACUUUUUUGAUUUCCGACUGUAACAAAAAAUUUAUUCCAAAUGAAUUGAUGCAAAAAUAUAUGGAUGUAUGAGAUAGUUUGGUAGUAGCCGAUCGCCUGGGGCCUAGAUCUAUAAAAGGAGUGUAAAUCAUGGAAAAUUUCAUAUAAGUAUUAACAUGCAUGCGUAUCACAAUCAAAAAUUGCAAAUCCUAACGUUGAAGCUGAACCUUCCGUCUUUGCCAUGUUUGUUCAUUUCAUAUUUUCUGUACAUUUCAAGAACAUAACCCUACAUUAGGAUGGAUGGAUGUACCUCUUGUUCUCAAGCAAUUCCCGGAGUUCAUCGAUGAGCUGCAGCUCGUCUAACAUUGUUGCAUUCAAAUAGGAGUUCUUGUCAAGUUGGCGAAGAAUAUCCAUGAAAGCUUUCUUCAGGUUAGGCUUUUGACCCACCGAAAUAAAAGCCUUGCAAAUGAAUUCCUCCUGUAGCUUGUCGUAGACUGCUUUGGCAAGAGUCGUCUUGCCAAGUCCUCCAAAUCCAAAGAUGGAAACUAUUUUGAGUUGCAGCUUGGAGUUGGACACAACAUCACCCCCUUCCAUCAGCCUUUUGAUUAGAUCUUUCCUCGGCUCCUCAAUGCCAACGAGCUCUUUCUGAUCUUUGAACAGAUUAAUCAUGCGAGGAUCAAUGGUGUUUGUGGCAGCUUGAUUAGCAUGGACAUCGUCGACCUUGUAUCUGUCACGCAAGUCAGCUACCUCCUUGACUCGAACCUUGAUAUCUUGGAUCUUGUCGGCGAUCUGAUGACGGGUCUUGCCUUUCUUGAAGAAGUUGGCGAUCUUUUUUCUGAAUCUCUUGGAUCUCUUCAGGUCCGCGUCUGGCUCGGAGCCCUCGACGCGCACCAUGAAGCUGUCGACGAUAUCCUCCAUCUCGUACGACAGCUGCUUGACAUUGGUAGCCCAGAGCCGGACCUGCUUGUCUAGCUUGUCCAGUGGCACCUCAGCGACCUUGGCAAGAGCAACCUCGAUGCUCUCCAGCUCCCUCGACAAAGACUCGACAUCUUUCUUCACGCCGGUCUGGAGCUUGUACUCUCCCUCGACGAGCUCGACGAGCUUGGGGAGGAGAGAUCUCAUGGCACCUGUUGCGAGCUCCAUGGCGAGCUUUCUCUCCUCUUUCGCUUGAGAAGUUGUUUGGUUGGUAAGUGCCUAGUGGUCAAGUGCCUAGUGAUCAUGCGUUUAGAGAACCCCUAGCUGAUGUAUUGGCUGGACAUGAGAAUGCUCAAAAACGGGUUUCCUCGAACCCUUCUAGUUCAACAGUUUAUGACACUGGAUGCUUUUAACUUUUUUUUGCAUACUCCUAUGGCUCGUCCUAAUCGCGUCGCUGGAUUAAUCGUGCAAGUGCACAUGGUGCAACGUGCUAAGCAGAUCCAGGCUUUGACUGUGCUAACUGCACAUGGUAUAACGUUCAUACUGAUUAAGGUAAUCACAUAGAUCCAGGGCUAAUUAGUUUAAUUAUUUCACUGUCCAGUUGCUCGUAAUCUAUGUUCUCUUUUCUUGGCAAAGGAAAAGGGGAGACUGACCUCUUACAUUGCACUGUGAUUGCCAUGGCCUAAUCACAUAGACCACUUGUCUCAAAAUCAAUGGUACUAAUUAAUCAUGUCUUAUGUACUGCAUGCCUAUGUUUCAAUUGCCGUGACUUAUAAUCAAUACCGUUGAUUUUGAGACGAAUAUGAUCUGAAUAGAGCAAUGUUAGACCCGUAACAUUAGAUAACAGUUAAUGUUAGAGGAUAUAUACGAAUCUGAGAUCGAGAUGGGUAUUUGAGAUCCGCUAUGUCAUGCAUGUGUUUGCACGCUGCUCGUCCUUGGAUGCCGCUGGAGUACCGUGUAAACAACCAGUCGCAACAGAACAUAAACAAUUGCAUGCAUUUCCAGUUUUCAAACGUUUUCACUGGCGCCCACAUGAUGGUGUGGCUGCUCAUACUAGUACUUUAGGCAUGCCAAGGAAAGAUUCCUAGGUCCCUAAAGAGAAGCUUAAAGUAUUGCUUCUCCAAUGCCAAUCCAUUCACAAAGUGGUAACCUACAAAGGAGAGAGACCCCUUCUCUUGCCUAGAUCCUUGGUGAGAUUGGUGCCAGUACAAUGAAAGUUUAAGCAUCGGGACAGUCACUCCUUAGUGCCCAGCUGCCUCCUUCUCCCUUGGGCACUUGUGUGAAACGGGAUUAGUAGCACACAUCUUGCCGACAACUGUUGAUAAAAUUUCAAUUUAGAACGGUCAAAGUGCGCCCCGAUAGGAUAGUGGAGGAGCACUCCAGUUUAGUACAACCAAGAAAAGAUUCCUCUGCAUCAGCACCUAAAAUAAGCUAAAUAUACUUGUCUAUCUCGAACUCUGUUUUUGAAUCUUGAGAAAAAAAUAUAUGCCCUUGUCUUUCCUGGAACAUGUCCUCACCUUAAAUUUGGAUCUUGGAAUGGAAGGAAAGAGGGAACAGGCUGUUGUUUGGUUUCUUCUGAUUUCUGAUUUAUUAGUACAAUACCAAUUUGUGCAAUUUGGCUAAGCAUAGCGAAUCAAUCAACAAGUAUGGUACAGUAGGGAUUAUCCACAUCCUCAUUUUUUUAUGUUAAUUUACAGAGUGAUCUCCAUCGGUGGCCUCUUGUUUGUUUGAUUCGCUAGCGUGUAGUCUUUGUGUGAAGGUUGCGAGGUGGCUUCUACACUAUAUGCAGAAGCCAAGACUUUUCUUCGAUCUGAUCGACAAAUUGUUUUGCCGCCCCUACUUAAUCAACGUGCAUCCAUGUUAAGCGUGCUGGUAAUUUAUAAUACUCUCUCCGUUAAACAAAAGAUGUCUCAAGUUUGUCAAAAUUUGGAUGUAUCUAGACAUGACUUAGUGUAUAGAUGCAUUCAAAUUUAAUUAAAGUCGAGACAUUUUUGUUGGAUGGGGAAAUACCAAGUUGUACGAAUUAAGUGUGGAGGUUGAUUAAUUAGUGUGUUGAUCAACAAACUACUCCUUUUAAUGUAUGAUCGCUGAUUAUCCACACUCACCGACUCCAUCCUUCUCCUUUUAAUGUAAAUUUAAUUACAGGGUGAGCUCGAUCGGCGUCGCUCUUGUUUGUUUGAUUCACUAGCGUGUACCGUAGUGCGUAGUGGUUGUGUGAAUGUUGCUUGUUUAUAUGAAAAAACCGAACUCAUCCAUCGAUCGGCCGGCCUGACAAAUUUUACAUGGGUGGUGUCUAUGAUCGAUGGAGAUGUUGGGGGAUUUUUCCCUUUAAAAAUAUAUUCUUGGACGACCUAAAGUCUUCUAGUCACCUUUACUUAAUUAAUGUGUAUUAGCCAUACCGAGACAAUUGAGAUCGGGGAGGCGCAUGGGGCGCGAGGUGGAGAGUGAUCGUUGAGGGAUGGACGUACGACAACCGUAUCAUCACCACCAACUCUAAUUUAAUAUAUUGGUAUAGAUUAUUAGGUGUAGAUUAGCCAUACUAGGUGUGCCAAUUUAUGAUAUCAACUUGUGCAAAUUAAGUCGUUGAUUAGCGAGUCAGUCAAUAAACACAGAUGAGCAAAGAAAAUAGAGAUCCCCACCCACCACGUAGUCCUUUCAUCCUGAUCCUUUCAAACUUUUCACAAGUAGAUUUCAUACUUCCUCCGUCCAACAAAAAAUGUCUCAAGUUUGUCAAAAUUUGGAUGCAUAUAGACAUGAGUUAGUGUAUAGAUGCAUUCAAAUUUAGUCAAAUUUGAGACAUCCUUUGUUGGACGGAGGGAAUAUAUAGUUAGCAAAUCACUAUCAGCGCGACCUUGCUGGCGACUAGCCCCGGGGGCUUCACAUGGACCUUUUCCUAUGUAAUUGAAUGGCAAUCAACUGUCAUUCCCUUUAAACAUCGUAGUCAUAAGAAGAUUUUUUUUAAUGUAAAUCUAACUGCAUGUGUAUAUUGUUUGGCUAAUUCUUGAUCAAAAAUGCAAAUUAGUUUAGUGUGUGACGCUCAAACCCCGCCCUAGGCCGGAUGGUAUGGUACGUGCUCCAAAAAGUUUGUGUAUGUCAAGAUGAGAUCCUUGAACCCCUGCAGAAACGUGAACCGAUAUCUAUACCUUGAAGCUAUAGUUACGUAUCUGAACUUGUGAAAUCUAGUUAGCUGGAGAAAUUUAGCAUCACUUGCGUCAUAAUUGAUGGAAAUAAGUAAGCGUGUCAUAUAUAUAAGGAAAAAAAACACUAUACUAACGGAGGCUUAAUCACGUUACCUUAAAUAUGCUUAGUCCUUGUAUUAACAACUUUUAUGGGCAGCCCUUGCAUAUCGAAAAAAAACCCGAUGAGUUAACCUAACCUUCCUAAUCCAUAAAAUAAAAUUUCAUGACACAGGCCAGUUGUUUAAUGUCUUGAGCUAAUCAUAAUACCAUUGAUUUUGAGAUUGUUGACCACCACGCCUGCCCCUAGGAAGCUAUUUUAUUUAUACAUUUUAGCACAAUACCAAGUUGUGCAAUUUGGCCAAGCAUAGCCAAUCAAUCAACAAGUAUGGUCAGUGAUUAUCCCCCCUCACCCACUCCACCCUCCUUUUUUGAUGUUAAUUUACAGGUUGAUCUCGAUCGGUGGCCUCUUGUUUGUUUUGAUUCGCUAGCGUGUAGUCUUCGUGUGAAGGUUGCGAGGUGGCUUGUUCUCUCUACGAUCCAUGAUAACUAUCCAGCAUUUAAGUAUAAAGUUGUACUAUACUAAUUUUGUACUAAAUCCUCCCCGAAGAGCGAGUAGUAUAUACGGAGUAGAUAGAACCAGAUCGAACUCAUCAAUCCACCGGCCGGCCGAACAAAUUUUCUAUGGUGGGCGUGUAUGCAUCUGCAUGACCAAGCGAUGCAGAUUGCAGAAGCCCGACAAAUUGUUUUGGACGACUCAAGGUCCUGUAGCCGCCCCUACUUAAUCAACGUGCAGCCGUGCUAAGCGUGCUGGUAAUUUAUAAUACCAAGUUGUACAAAUUAAGUGAGAGUUGAUUAAUUAGUGAGUCGAUCAACAAACACGGUUUAGCAAAGAAAUUAUGGUCGCUGAUCAUCCCCAGUCACCCACUCCAUCCUCCUUUAAUGUAAAUUUAAUUACAGGGGGAGCGAUCAGCGUCGCUCUUGUUUGUUUGAUUCUCACUAGCGUGUAGUGCGUAGUGGCUGUGUAAAGGUUGCGAGGUGGCUUUGAAGCGAGCCCCCCACGUACAGGGUUUGAUCUCUGUGCUUACAGUGCUAGUCCCUGAAUCGACUUGCUAGCACACAUAGUUUUCAAGAUGUAAUAUCAAGAUACAAAGGUCAAAAGUAUAUUACAUCGCAUUGAUUCAGAAUUUAGUAGUAACUUACAUAUUGCAUAACCUCAUCGGUUAUCUCACAGAAAAUAAAAUCUUGCAGCGGAAGGUAGAAGAUACAGGAGUCCCAUAACAACUCCACGGUCGAAACAUGUUGGUAUGUAAACUCGCAACCCUAACAAUUCAUACCUCACUCUUCACCUGGUUUACCUGCAACAUUUAAACGUUGCAGCCACUAGGGGGUCAAUACAUUGAAUGUAUUGGCAAGUUCACCAAAGGGUUAUAACAGAUUCUAUCAAGUACAUGCAUUAUGGGCUAGGUGGGUUUGGCUAUUUGCAUAAAAGCAUCAUUGUUUCAUCCUAUCAUUUUUAACCAAAAUAGUUUUAUUUUUAUUGGACACGGGGUAGAAACACUCAUGCUCCUAUUAACCUAGGCACAUUGAGUAGAAACAUCAAUGCUCCUACCCAGUUCAAUCCAUUCAUUUUAUUAAGAAAUUGGAAUGAGUGAGACUUUUCUUACAGCCCCAAUAUCUAGUUGCUCAUAAUUGUCCGUAACCGGGGACAGGCUAAGUACUUAGUUUGACACUCUUGAGAGGUGGUACACUUUACCCACAAGAAAUCGACGUGUUAAUCCCUUGCUGUCCUCUGGGUAGAGUAGCAACGGCAUCGACUACAGGAAUUUUUAGAACAUAAUCCCCCAGACCACCUGAGGGACGCGCCCCCACCUACACUGCUACAUACCAAUGUCACUUCGGAUCCAGGUUCAUAUUUCUUACAUCCAUCCUGGCAGAGCCCAUAAUACCAUGUGGUUGUACUGGAAGCUACUAAACAGGAAACUAGUUCAGUCUCUGGUUACCCCGGGUGGCAUCCCACAUUGUGACGCAGGCGCUCCCCGAAUUGCACGGGGAGACGACCAUGGACGCUCCUGAAUCACACGGAGAGACGACUCAGCGGGCCCCAUAGAAAUGGACCUAACGUCACGACAUCCGAAAACUCAAAGCAGCCCACCCAGAACGGUUCAUUGAAUUACUUGUUUUGCCAUACACUAGGAAAAUCAUAUUGUAAUUCAAUAGUAUCACAUUGUAAUAAUACCACCCUCGUAUAUUCUCAUAGCAUAGCAUUUUACUACUACGAUGGCAAUUGGUGGUAAGGUCAUGACAAAGGAUAUCCUAUACUACUAGGACGGAUCAUAGCUAGCAUAAAUACAAUAAUAAUCCUAACCAUGCAACUAAUAAAAUCUAGUGUAUAAUAAAAUAAUAGGAUGAUGGUCAAAGUGAACUUGACUGAUUAGUGUCUUUGUAUUCUUUUUCUUUUCGAUACUCACAGUUACUGCACUCCGUAUAAUCUAUCGCGAAGAACGAAUAGCAAUAAUAAAUAACCAUUCGACAACUCCAAAUCAUAACUCCAAAUAAAGAACCAAAGCAAUAUACAAAGUUUAAAUUAAACAGUACUUAUCUAUUGUUAGGCUGUCCUAGGCAUAGAUCUAAGAGGUAGGAACAAGGUUUGGGUUCUAUCGGAGUUGAAACGGUAAAGUCACUGGCUGUUAACAGAUACAAUUUUCUAGGGGUCAUGGGCUAUGGUAGGUGAACUUAAAAAGGUGCACAAAGUGGUCCAGAAUCAAGAGCUGGGUUUAUUCUUGUCAACCCAAAAAGAAAGAACCGGUUUAGAACUAGGGAUCAACUUGUAUGAGACAGUGCUAAAAGAUACAAAGUUUGGUUGCGCAUGGACUAGUGUGGCUAAGUCUGGAAUUUAAGUCUAUAGGAACUGUUAUAACUUAGAUACUUUGGCUGUUUGGAAAAUUGUGCUAAAUGGCAGAAAUGGGAUGAAAAGUAUACUACUGUAUAGUAUUAAGAUUGUACUUGCUAACACAACAAGUCUCAUCCCAAAAGGAUCUACAGAGAAUUAGCUACUGGCUUGCAAAGUUGGCUAGUCUGAUUCUGACAGAUGAAAGAUACUAACUUAUACUGAAAAUGUACUGGUACUAAUGGCUUCAAAAGACAGAGGGCCAAUGGGAUGAAUUAAACUAGAUAUAACAAGAUUUCAAAAGACACGGUUUUAACCUAAAUAGGAGUUGUGAGUCAAAAGAUACAGGCUUACAAAACAGGCCAAUCUAUAACAAAGUUUCUGUAACUAAAGGCUUAGAAUUGGCAGUGUGGGAAACUGCUGAAGGUACUGUUUUGCAAUGAUGCUGAACUAGUGUGGAUGGACAUUUAAAGGUGUUAAAAUAGGUCUAGGAUUUAUAUUUGGAUUUGAUCUUGACAUGAAAAAAAGAAUCAUCUAAUUUGAAGUAACGGGUCAAAAGAUAUAGGCUCCGGAAGACAGCUAACUGAUGUAACAGUGUUAACAGAUACGACUUUUGAUUGAAGAUGCAAUUAGGUAGAAAAAUCCUAAAUUGUGCAAAGUGUACACUAAUGUGUAGAACAUGAUCUAAUUGAUGAACUACAGAAGGCUUGGAACCAAACGGAUCAAUGGAACAACCUACAUGAAUUUCGAAAGGUGGCUAAUCCAGAAACAACGUGCUGUGAAUAGAAAUUUCGAACGACGAUGCACUAUAGAAGCUCUUAGAGAAGGGCUAUCAAAACUGAUCUGACCUAUAGUGGAGGACGUUCUCUAACUACAACAGAAAGAUUCGUCCGAAAAUGAUAUACAGGUCAAAAGAUAUGGUCUUCUAAACAAGGCUAAUCAAAACAGAUCAUGCUGAAAGUUUUCUCACCGAAACGGAGUUCGGAAAAUGACAAAGGAGUCGUCGGCGGGGUCGAUGUGGUCGUGGUAGAGUCUAGGGACGUGCGUGACAUCGAGGCGGACAUCGUGACGCGGUCGAUGCGGUCGGAGACGCAUUCGGGCGGCGACGGGCGGAGCUCUGGGCGCGGUUUUGGCAUGGGAUCGGGGACGGCGUGGCCAACAACGUCAAGAGGUCACGAAACCUUGUCACAAAGGUAGGUAAGGGUCACAUGAUUCUACCGGUGAAAGGAAUCGAAGAAUGGAGAUUCGGGGUGAUCUCACCGGCAACAAUGGUGGCGGUGACCGAUGUAGGAAGACGUCGACAUAGCCGGCUGUACAGAGGUUUUGAGGCCAAACUUUCUACAUGGGGUUGGGAGAGGAGAGGCAAAGGCUCAAAGUGACGCGCGUGGAAUCCUUUUAUAGUGGCCGAGGAGGGAGAUCGGGCGUGGAUGUCGACGGCUGACAUUUGGGGCGCCUUUUUUGGAAACUGCGAUUUUGAGAGAAAACUUCAAAUUGAUUUUCUGAAUGGGUUCCCGGGAUGGUGAGAAUUGAUGGGGUGGUUUUCUUUCGGAGAGAGACGCGCGGGAAGGAAAGAAAUCGAAGAAAGGAAAUAUGGAAGGAGUGGAUUUCUUAGGUGCUCCUAGCUCGGGCGCUCGGUGGAGAUGGGCCGGCCUAGUUUGGGUCGGUCCAUUCUCUUUUUUUUCUUUUUCUUUUUUCAUUUCUGUUUUUAUUAAUAACUUUUGAUUCCUAACUCUAAAUAAGUCCAAAUAAACUUCGGUAAAUUUGUAAAUUCAAAUCCUCCAAAGUGUGAACUUUUGGGACUUGAAUCCUUUGAAAAUAAAAUAAGUAAAAAUACUUUUGCUUAUAUAAUUGUCAUUAGGGCUUUAUAAGUAAUACAUAAAAUAGGUUUUGAAAUCUAUUAUGAAAUCUUUGUUUCAUAAAUUAGUUUAAACUCCAACAAAAUAUUGGGUUGGCAUACUUUGCACUAAAACCCUUUCUUAGCUAAAUACCCUAUUGGUUAAACUCCAAAUAAAAUCUCAUAAUAAUUAUAUGGUUCAAUAAAUUCCCAAAUAGCUUUAUAACACCAAAUCACUCACUUUGAAAUAAUAGGAAAUGUUUCCAACUAUAUAUAAUUUGGGAAGUCACGUUAUCCCACUCUCAACGACGAAUAAAUGUUGGAAUAACAUUUGCACAUGAGGAUGUCACGUUAUCCUCUUCUCGAAUAUUUGAUAGUUUCCUCACAAAAACAAAAUGAACACGACAAAGCAAAUACCGAGAGAAACAUAAGUGAAUCAUUAAAUAUGUUUUCCAACCAUAUAACUAGGAAAGUCAUAUUAUUCCCUCUCUUUAUCAUUUAGAUAAAUGUUGGAGAACAUUUCUAAGUAUUCCAACGAUGCUCUCAAAUGGUCAUUGCAUCCAAAUUGGAAACUUACUGUGUUAGUAAAUUCUUCAAAAAGAACGUAAGAUUUAUUUAGAUGCAAAGAAUAAUCCGGUGGAAAUCAUAAGAUGCAUAUGGGUCCAAAAUAGGAUAACUUUGAACUUACAUAAAUGUCCCAACCAUGUUGUAUAAUUUGGAUAGUCAUAUUAAUCCACUCUUUUGUUGAAUAUUCAAACAUGGUGUUGAAAAAUUUAAAUAAGUCUUAAAAAUUUCAAAUCCUUCAGAAAUUCACAACCCAAAACAUUUCCAAAGCAAAUAUUUUUAUUUAAAAUAAUUAUUUUAUUUAACAUUCCAAAAUGGGAAAAUUCUGGGAUGUUACAGGCUUGUCCUUGUUUAUUUACUCCUUAUGUUCCUCAAAUUAAGGCAUAUAUUGUUUUUUUGACCGAACGUUUCACCAAAGAUUACUCCAUCAACAUGUGACUUAUGUGAUAUAAAUCAUAAUCAUAAACAAGUACUUUUGAAUACGAAUCCGAUGAUACCAAUUUUAUUUCACGAAAAAUUUAUAUUAAUAGACUAAGUCUUGGUCAAAAGCUCGGUCAAAAAAAAACAAUUUUACGCCCUAAUUUAAGGAACGGAGGGAGUAUAUAAAGAAACCGAACUCGUCCAUCGAUCGGCCGGCCUGACAAAUUUUAUAUGGGUGUGAUGUGACUCAAUCGAUGGAGAUGUCGGGGAAUUUUAAAAUUUUAUUCUUGGACGAUCUAGGGGCUGUUUGGUUUGAGCCCACAAUUGCCUUGCCAAAUAUUUGGUUGCCAAAAUAUUGGUUGAGAUUUUGUUUGCCCAUGAUUUGGCCAAAUUUGGCCAAAAAAAUGAACUAGAGUUGGUAGUGGGGAAUUGGCUUGCCAAAAAAUUGGUUUUGAUCUAAACAAGAACCAAAUCUUAGUCAAUGACCAAAAAUUUGGUAGGGCAUGGUUUGGCCACCAUCCAAACAUACCCCUAAAGUCCGGCCUGUAGUCACCUUUACUUAAUUAAUGUGUAUUUAGCCAUACUAAGUACGCCAAAAUAUGAUACUCCCUCCGUCCAACAAAAUAUGUCUCAAGUUUGUCAAAUUUUGGAUGUAUCUAGACAUGACUUAGUGUAUAGAUGCAUUCAAAUUUAGUCAAAGUUGAGACAUCCUUUGUUGGACAGAUAAAGUAUCAACUUGUGCAAAUUAAGUCAUUGAUUAGCAAGUCGGUCAAUAAACACAGAUCAGCAAAGAAAAUAUCCCCACUCACCACUCCUUUCAUCCUGAUCAUUUCAAACCUUUCAUAACUAUAUUUAGCAAAUAUCCCGGGGGGGGGGGGGGGGGCUUCACAUGGACCUUUUCCUAAAUAAUUGAAUGGCAAUCAACUGUCCUUUCCUUUUUAGAAACGUACAUAGCAAAAAAAUGAAUGUGAAUCUAACUGCAUGUGUUUAUUAUUUGGCUAAUUUUUUUAUCAAAAUGCAAAUUUAAUGUGUGACACUCGAACCCCGCCCUAGGCCGGAUGGUAGGAUCUUUCAAAAAGUUUGUGUAUGUCAAGAUGAGAUUCUUGAACCCCUUUAGAAACCUGAGCCAUUAUCUAUACCAUGAAGUUAUAGGUCCGUAUCUCAACUUGGGGAAAGACGUAUCGCCUCCGUCAUAAGGGCAUCUUCAAGGGUUUGCCUCCAUUUGUCCUCCUCAUUUGUCCAUUUGAGGAGUCUUUGGACAAAUGUGGAUGGACACAAUAUCAAGUUGUCCCAUUGUAACCUCUCAUUUAUCUCUUCGUGAGUCCUUGACAUGUGGGGUAAGAAGACAAGUGGACAAGAUUUGGAUGAGUUUUGCACAAAUAAGGACUCCUCAUACUCUCCUCAAAUUUGAGGAAAAAAUGAGGGGUGUGGACCACUUUUGGACAAAUGGGCGUUCCCAUUGGAUUGUGUGCUCUUGGAUCCACGUAUGGACAGAUUUGGACAAAAAAGGAGGAUUUGGGGCUUCCCUUCGAGAUGUCCUAAGCACCUACCGGAGCAAAUUCCAUUUUUUACCUUGUAAUACUUUGAACACCACCUCAUUUAACGGGGUUUUCACUUUGUUACCCCAUUUAGCUCGAAAGUUUCCAGAAAUUACCCUCUUUAAGGUUUGACCACGUUCCUGACAGGUCGGUCCCACCUAUAGGCUGAUGUGGAAGUCCAAGUCAGAUGCAGCUUUUUCGUAAAAACGUCUCCCUGAUGUGGAAUCUGAAUGGGCCGCGGGCGACGAUGUCCCUGGCCAGGACGUGGAAUUUUUUUCGCGGUGGAAUUACUUUAGUACAGUUUUAUCUUCUCCCGCCGGCGAAGCAGCCGGUAACAGGCUACAGCCAGCUACUGCCCGUGUCCCAAAUGGCCGGCCUGGGACUGCUGGAGCUCGGCGUCGUCCAGGCUAGGGUCUGUCCAGGUGGGAGACGCAUUCUGAAAAGCGGCCUCCGACUUGGACGGACAUAUUCUGAAAAGUAAUUUUUGGAUUAUUAUUUUUGCACUAAAUGGGGUAACAGAGUGAAAACACAGGUAAUUGGUGUCAUCUUCUUCAAAGUAUUAGGUAAAAAAUGGAAUUCACUCUAACCACGCGGGUUCCUUCCAAAAACAAAUACAGCGAUUACAGAAAAUUCCCAAUCGAGAAUAGCAGUUAAGUUGCAGCCCGGCCUGCUAUUAUCUCUGCCUCUGCCAUUCUGGGCCAGUUUGCAGGAGUGUCAAGCCUGGAUCUUGGAAGGGAAGGGAAGGAGAGACAUGUGUUUGGUUUCUUGUGAUCUUCGAUAUAUCUGAACAGAAUUCUGCAAUUUGCUUAUUGAAUGCUGUCUCGCUUGAAUUGCCUGGAGAAAGAGCUUCCAUCCUCUGUCCAAAUUUGCAAGCAGUUGCAAAUGUGGAACGUCAUGGCCAAUGUACAGUUUUUUGAGCAUUUUGCAAUUCAGUUAACAAAAUGUCCUAGAGUAUUGCACCCUUGGACUAUACUGGUGACACUGGUAAUAAUCCGUGUUAAUGCAUGUCGUGAGUGUCAUGAACGAUGAUUGGCAGGGGAAUAAAAGGAGCAACUCCCAUUUUCAGUGCACUGCGUCGAUCAUCUGUACUCCAUUCCUUGCAGCUUUAUUUGCAAGUUUCGAAACUAGAGAUGAACUCAUUUUGUGCGGGUCGAUCCUUUGUUUGACUAGCGAUGCACCUAAGAUUUAAUUCAUGUUCAUCUAGCGGACAGGCAAAAAAUUCUGUACAGAAACAUGCGUUCAAAUUCCAGCUUUUGAAUUUUUCUGAAUUAUAGGAGAGAUUGGUGGGCCAAGUCAGCUUACAUGGGCCGCAGCCCAUAAGAACGAUCGAGACAAACAGAGUCGGAGGAGAGAUUCUAAAAAAAAAAAGAGAGUCGGAGGAGAAAGAAGAAAGGAGAGCUCAGAGCAUCUGCAAUGGCAUCCCCCAAAGCUAUCCCGAAUGUCUUAUUUGGGGGAUAUGGACAUUUUGCCUCCAAAAUCAUCUCCCAAUGGUAUCCCCUAAACAGACAAAAUGGCAUGUUUGUCCGGACACAUCCCCCAAACUUGCCCCAAAUUUGGGGGAGGUUUGGGGUGUCCGGACAUUGUCCGGUGCUCUCUUUUGUCCGCCCCAGCCCCACAACAAGAGAUGGUAAAAGGAGAGAAAAAAUUGAAAAGGAGAGAAGAAAGGAUAAAGAGAAGUGUUGUUCUUUUAGAAAACAACAGGAGUACGGGGUGCCAAUGCACGAUGACACAAAUGCGAGAAUAAAGUGUUGGGGGUGUACGCCGGCCUUAUAGCGAAGGUCGCCGUACACUUGGGACAAGUUGACACGUCGAUAUUUUUUGAAUAGGUUCGGUCGACCCUGCAGGUACGACUUAAUCCUAUGUUCGGAGAGGCUUUGAGGGGGUCGUUAGCCAAGCGCUUGGGCCGAACUCGUCUUCCCAGGUCGCCUAUAGCGAGAGAGAUCUCUAGGGGCCGCCUCGGACCUGGGCCGAACUCGUCUUCCCAAGUGGCGAGGUUAGGAUACCCUCGAGACUCUAACCCGAUCCCUCUACUUCGAGUCGAGGUCGUACUAGAUGGCCCGGAACCUCAAAACUAGGCUUCUCAAGUCGCGUCUCCGAGGUCGAGUCGAGACUAGACUCAACCCAAGCACUUGAGAGCGGGCUCCUUGAGAUGCUCUAGCUCUCUCCCCUUUGAUCUUAUUCCAAUGAAGAGUGUCUGAUACAUGCCCCAUGGGGGUAUUUAUAGCAUAGGGAUCCAUGACAAAAGACCAUGGCUACCCUUGAGGGAGAGGGAAAGUAAGGGUAAGGUGAUAAAUUUGCUCCUAGAGCUUUCUUUGGCCCUUACUCUAGCUCCUUUGACCAUGGCUUGGAGGGCUUGACCCUUUGACUCCUUUGACCGGCGCCUAGUUGGCAUGGCUAUGCCUUGUUGGCGAUUUGACCGGUCUCCGGGAUUCGUUGACUUGGUCGUCGCCACGUAGGAUCACGGCCCGGCCCAUGUAAGAAUUUUAUUAUAUUAAAACAGUAGCCACCUUGAGCCGGAGGUGUUGGGAAUGCCUUUGGGUCAACUCCAAUGAUGGUGGCGCGCCGAAGUUCUUCGAUGCGGUGAAUGUGGCUCUCCUUGGGACUAGCCACCGGCUAAGUAACCUUCCUCGGGGAGGAAGAUAAACCUAGAUGGGCCUUGUUGCACAAAGUUUGCGGCCUUGUGAAAUUUCAUGCGUCCCGAGGGCUCCCAAGGAUUUUUCCUGUGAAAAUUUACGGCCUUGGAGUCUUUGGCGCGAUGAACCACCGGCUAGGCUAGUUUCUCGGUGAGAAAUCAAGCCUAGGUGGGUUCCUUUGCGAGGUUUUACUGGUCACGGGGUCUAUUCUUGAAGAAACAGACACUUCCGGGGUCUUCCUUGCAAAAUUUUAAGGCCGUGGGGCUCCUUUUACAAGAUAGUUAGGCUGCAACGGCUCUUUUGCGAAUUUUUGGCCUUCCGAGGGCUCCGGCGCGAAAUUCCUAAGCUACCGGGGCAGCCUGAGAUUUUCUGCAUCCUUGGGGGUUCUUCUGUGAAAAAUCCCCCACCCCCACCCCCCCCCCGGGGCCGCCCGAUCGUGCACGCGGGCGCUCUCGCGUCGUAUGUGGGUUAACGAGCCUCCCGGGUGUGCGAGUUGCGCCCGACCGGGCUUGGGAGGCCUCCUUCGGUUUUUUUUUUCAUGCGUUGCUGGGCCGAGGCCCCCUUCACCACCCGGCCUGCUUACCGGUUGACCGAGUUAAGUGAGGGGAUCGGAUGGUCGCGGGCGCGCGGGUGCCCUAGAUCCGACGACGCGUGGCCGUCUUCCUCCUCUGUACGGGACAGGAAAAGGAGGGUGUCCUCCUUUCCUCUUCGGGCGACGACAUCGUCACCGGGAUGACACCGGUGCUCACGCGGCGCGGCCAGGACGGCUUGGCCGCGGGUCCCCGCCCGGGACCUUCUCCUUUGCGCCUCCUCCUUUUCUUCUUUUCACCUUUAGCUCUAUGCCCUCUGUUUCCCGGUCGGCUGACCCUUGUCUUCUUGCUAUGACCGAGCCGACCGAUGAGCCAUUGGGUCCGGACGUCGAGACGCGCCUUGGGCUAUAAAAACGAGGCCGGGGGGCGCAAGAGGGCAUUGCCCACUCUUGCUUUCCUCUCCUCCGGUGCCGAAGACGCGCUUCGGUGGCACCCGAGGACGGAGGCGAGACCGGUGGCUCGUAGGUGCCCGUCGAGGGCGUUUAGCCAGUUCGUCUUGUUUCCGAAGGUGUUGAGGGUGAUUGAGCCAUCGUGGGGGACACGAUUCCGGCGGGCUUCGGGCUUUGAACGGUGCCAGAGUUGUCUUCAAUUCGACCCACGGAGAGGCGGCGCCCGAGUACUCUCGUGUCCUUGCCGAGGUGAGCCGCGGCCGCGGGCACUUCUUCGCCGCCCUUGGGCGCCGUCGUAGCGAAGCUUGGCACGUCCCAGUUUGAGCCGCGCGGGGCGGACGGCCCCCGGUCGUUUCGUCGAAUACGUGGGGCGCGUGGCUUCGGGCGGGGUGAGCGUGCGUCGAGGGUGCUGCGAGUGACGUGCCGGCGCGUGCUCCCGGAGCGGCGUGCGUGCGCGCGGGGCCGCACGCGGGAGAUGGCGCGGGUGCGUCCCCGUCAUGCGCGUAGCGCGGUGCUGACGCGACCGGCAAGGCUGCGACGCGCGCCGUGUGGGGUGACCGCGGAUGCAGCGCGCGGGGCACGGCGUGGGCGUCGCCCUGGCAUGCGUCAGGUGGAACGCCGAGGGCGCCACGGGCGUAGAGCCGCGCGUGAAGGAUGGCGUGGGCGCGGCCACAGCGCGCGCACCACGCGGUACCAUUGCGACCGGCGAGGGUGGAGCUGCAACGCGCGGGGUGCGGCGCAUGGGGCACGGCACGCGGGGCGCAGCGGGCGGGGCGCGGCACGGGCGCGGUCUGGUCACGUGCUAGACGGAGCGCCGAAGGCACCACGAGCUUGAGCUGUGUCGGAGCUUGGGGAGCGGGGCGAGCCCAGGGCGUCGGCCAUUUGGCCAAACGCCUCGCGGGCAUUUUCCCGUCGGCCUCCCUCCUCUUCUUCUUCCCUUUUUUUGUCCGGAAUGGUAGUUGGGCCGCGGGCCGUUGACGGUUUCUGGGGGACUGGGGCCCCUUGCGUCUUGGGCCACUGGGCUUGCACGGGGCCGAAGGCCCUCCCCUUUGCAGGCCGGGGCGCUUCGGGCCUUGGCGAACCGUGGGCUCCGUGGGAGCUGGGCUCACCUUCUUUUUUUCUUUUUUUUUUACGGCGGUCGCGCAUGGCUUUGCGACGUAGACUUUCCCUAGCCGCUUCCUUUAGGAAUUUUUGCGACUUGUACUAAUCUUUUGGCGCCUUCUUGUAGGUGAGAUGGCGGGGUCUGACGUGGAGCGUCGCGGUGGCGUCGACGGGAGCGCCGAGAGAGAGGCCUUCCAUGGGAGUGGGGGCGAGGCGCGGACGUCGAGAGGCAAGCCGCGGAGGUCGAAGAAAGUCACCCGCCCGGAGAGAGGACCUAGGCCUGAGCCGCAUCCGGCCAUGCCGGGACGGAUCCCCGACAUCCUUCCCGCGUCGGUGGCGACCGAGAAGGACUUGUCGGACCUUGUGGAGGCGGGCUACUUCCGCAAGGGCCUUGCCUCACUUCCUAACGAGGGCGAGCUUCAACUGGAGCCGCAGAGGCGUCGAGGGCAUAUCGUCGUGUGCACCAGCUGGUUUCACACCGGAUUGUGCCUGCCCGUGCACCCGUUCCUGCUGGAGUUCCUGGAUACUUAUGGUAUCGAGUUGGCGCAGUUGCUUCCCUCGGCGAUCUUGCGCCUGAACGUGUUUAGGUGGCUUUGCAAGACCGCCUUGAGGGAGCCUCCGACCAUGAGGUUGUUCGUGUUGUUGUUCACCGUCCACGUGGAGGAGCGUCGCACACCCGACGAGAGUACUUGGAGCGCCUUUGGGUCGGUCGCCGUGAGGCUUCGUCCUGGCUUCCAUGACGAGUUCCCCCUGAUGCCGGCGAAGAGCGUGGUGCGCCUAUUCGAUGGGUGGGACUUCCUCGACGUUUCGGAGUCGAGCUUGCAUCACUCUGGCAGGCUCCCCUGACACUCUGGGCCCGGGGGGCUUCGGGAUGUCGUCGGUCCCAUGGGCACGUCCUUGGUCGAGGAGUGGGAGCUAGCCGGGAUCAAGUCGGCUCGUUCGGAGCCUAGCUUCCGCGACCUUCUCGAGGAGAUGGUGAUGGCGGGCCGCUUCAUGAUCAGGGCGCGACCACAGGCGGAGCUGGGGAUCCCUGUGGCCUUUCGUCACCCACGCCGUGCGGCUAAGCGUGAGUUUCGUGAUGCUUGAGUCGUUGCCUCAAGUAUGCUUGCUUGCUUGACACUAACCCUGGCUAGUGCUUGUGCUUGUUUUUCAGCGGCUUUUUCUCGAGAGAGGGCGGCUGAGUGGGCUUCCCAGACGGUCGGGCCGUACAACUCGGUGGAGCAUCAGGCUUACGUCGAUACCAUCAGCGAGGGAGGAUGUCACAACGUCGUGGCGGUAUGCUUCGACGACUUGGUACCGAUGCGCCCGGAUCCCAAGUUCGGGAAGCUCAUCAAGGCUGGCGAGCGGUACUCUCGUCUUGCGACCCCGUCGAUGAUCGCCCUUGGUUCUCACCUCAAGGAUACUUGUGGGAAGGUGAAGCCUCAGGUCGUGCUUGGGUUGGGUGUGCCGGUGGCCCUAAUGCCCAUGAUCCCUCGUCCUUCGAGUUUGCGCAAGAGGAAGGCUCCUUCUCCUAACCUAGCCGACGUGGCUGAGUCGAGGUCUCCCUUGAGAGAGUCCAUGAACAUGCAUCUAGCCGGGAAGAUCGAUAUUGAGAAGAUCCUGCCUCCGUUGCCUCACGAGCGUGCGGUGUUCACCCAGAGGACCGAGCUUUAGCUCGUGGUGGAUACUUCCUCGGAGGCCAGCGGAGCGGGCGUUCUGGUGUUCUCCUUGACUCGUGGGCCUGUGGAGGAGGAGCUUCCCGUUACCGGUGAGUGCACGCUUGUUGAGCGUUUUAAUUCCCUUUUGGGAAUGUUCUCACGGGGUUUUCUUGUCUUGUUUUAGGUACGGAGCUUGCGGCGCCUGAUGCUUGCGGGGCCGAGCCCCCGAUUCUGGAGGAGGGAGAGGCGCUUCUGAGGACCGAGGGAGGGGCGAGAGAUCCGCUUGAGGCAUUGGAGCUUGUGAGUCUGCUCUCCUCGUCUCCCUUCUUGCUAGGUCCAUUUUGCCGGCCCGCGCUCAUGAUUCUUCUUCUUUUGCCAGGUGAGAGGCUUGGUCGAGGCCGUGGGCACUCUUCCUGCCCUCAAGGCUCAGGUUGGGGUGCUUUCGGCGGCCUUGGAUGCCGAGACCUCGAAGGCUACCCUUGCCUUGAGUGAGCUGGCUUCGGAGAGGGCGCGGCGGGAGGCCGUUGAGGCUGAGCUUUCUCGAGUGUCGGCGGAGCUUGCGGCCAUGGAGGCGAGGGCUCGCCUUGCCGAGGAGGGCCAGGAGGAUGCGAUCGCAAAGACUUGUCGUGCCAAGGAGGACUUGGUGGUGGCCAGCCUCAACGUGGAGCACGCUCGAGCGGAGGUCGCUUCUCUCAAGGCGGAGUCAGAGGAUGCCGGGUUCAGACCGGUGUUUGCUCCUCGUGCUCGCACCCCUUCGGAUAGCCGCCCGAAGGUGGUCUCGCUCCUGCUUGCCCAGGCUUCGGAGAUUCGGGAGAUGGUACUCUGUUUGAAGGGCUCCCCUCAGCCAGAUCUUCCCCCGUGUCGCACGACGGAUGAGGCGAGUAGGGUGCUUACUUCACAGGUGGAGCUUCUUGAGCCCGCCGUGAAGAGGUGCCUUCUGAGUACGGGUGCCCGACUUGUUUCGUCGGCAGUCGCGGCUGUCCUGGACGGUGGUGCCAGGACGAGAGGUCUUGAGGGUGAGAUGAUUCACGGGGCGAAGAAGUUUCUGGCAGACCAGGGAGCUCCUCUUCGCGCUCUGGCUCGACGCUUCGUGCGUUGCCUUGAGCCUGCUCUUCAGGAGAGCGAUGGUGGGGCUUGAGUCUUGUUGCCCUUUGAGGCGACAAGGUACCCUAGCUGCUUACUUAUGCGAUGUUGCAUAUCCACUUAUGACAUAGCCUCAUGACUUGCAUGUUCUAGGCUUAGACAUAGAGGUUGUAAGGCAGCCUUUUUGAUGUGCUUUAUGCUUUGCUAUGUAGCCAACAUUGUCGGGAAUGUCAACUUAGCUCGGCAUGUAUUUUCUUAUGUUUUUGUCGGAAAUGUUAACUUGGCUCAACAUGUGUUCUUUGGAGUACUCUAUUUCCUUCUUCGCGAAGUACUUUAUUUCCUUAGUUUAUACAGCUCGCGAUCGUUUGCUAUGAUCACACUUUUGCGUAAUCAAUUCCUGUCGCCGUUGGGAUACGACUUGGCUUCGGCGCCUUAGGCCAUGGUUACGAGCCAUGGAUCCUAGUACCCUGAUGGGGGUCGCUAUCGAUAUGCUGAUAGUGAUCCGGACACUUCGACCUGCCGUUCGGGGAAAUUCAUGCGGAACUCCUCCUCUUCGGACUUCAGGAAGCUAUGCUUUCCCGUGAUUAUUAUGGAGCCUUAACUCAGUUACUAUCAUGCAGGCCCAUGUGCGACGUCUCGCACGCGGGUAGCCCGGUUCUCCGAGGUAAGUAAGCUCAUGCAUAACUCGCUUAUUUACGGUUCUCCUUAAAUGCGUUUUAAGGAACUUCCGGCCCUCGGGGGACUUGGUUCUACUUGGCGGAUAGCCUCGAGGCACGCUAGGAUCCUCGAAGGAACGGGUCACUGGUGGCGACUUAUGUCCGGAGACAUUUUUGGGUGAUGCCUGAGCCAACGUAGGCCCUUCGGCGUCCCUCGGCGAGCGGCACUAGGGCAGCGACUCGAUUUUGGGGAUCGUCUCUUCGUGACAUUGCUGUUCGAUGGGGUUCCCUUUACGACGGUGGGUCGUACGAGUGUCGAGUGUCACUCUUUAUCAAGGACUUGUUUUUAUUGAUCCCCCGCUUGCUUGUUUUAAGGUAUGGCCCGAUGGGCACUUACAAUCCUUAAAUAGACGUGGACUCAUUGGCGCUUACGAUCUCUCGAAGUUUCGCAGGGAAGUGGCCGGUUGGGCGCUGAUAGCCUUCCUUCGGGAGUGGCAAGGGUCGUCCUUGAGAUUCCUCCUUAUGCGUAGAAACGCCGGAGUUUGUCGCCGUUCCAGGCAUGGACGAGGUUUUUCCCUUCCAUGUUCUUGAGGUGGUAUGCACCGUUGCCCAACACCGCGGCGAUGCGGUAUGGUCCUUCCGAUUUAGGGUCGAGUUUGUGCUGGAGUUUUGGGUCGACGUUCUUUUUUAGCACGAGGUCUCCUUGGGAGAAAGCUCGUUCCCGCACCCUCAUGUUGUAGAAGCGUGCGGCGCUCUGCUCGUAGACGGCGUGCCUCAUGAGGGCUUUGUCACGAGUUUCUUCCACAAGAUCGACAGCCGUCUUGUGAUGCUCUUCAUUUUCGAUGAACGCGAGUUGAGUAGCUUCUUGCAGUCUUUCGACCCGAGGUGAGCGGAACUCUACCUCGGCGGGAAGAACUACUUCGGCGCCAUACAUCAAAGAGAAUGGUGUUCGGCCCGUGGAACGGCUUACGAAGGUGCGUAGGCCCCAAACCACGCUGGCGAGUUCGUUCCCCCAUGCUCCUCUUGCCUUGCUGGCCGUGUUUUCUACCUUCGACGGAGUCCUUGGAGGAUUAGCCCAUUGGCUCUCUCGCAUGCGCCGUUGCUCUUGGGGUAGGCCACGGAUGCGAAGUGCAGCUUGAUCUCGAGGCAUUCGCAGAAUUUAAUGAAUUCCGCACAGUCGAACUGUUUGUCGUUGUCCACGGUUAGUUCUCGUGGGAUGCCAUAUCGACAUAUGAUGUUUUCCCAGAAAAAAUUCCGCACAGAAGUAAUCAAUCGUCACCACGAGGUACUUGCAGCCCCCGAUGCAUGCGGGGAAAGGCCCGAGAAGGUCCAUUCCCCAGCGUGCAAAUGGCCAAGUUAUUGGAAUAUUCUUCAGGGUCGUCACCGGCGCGUGGAUGGACUUAGCCAUUUUUGGGAAGCUUCGCAUCUUCGCAAUAUCGUGAUUGCGUCUUGAACCAUGGUGGGCCAAUAAAAUCUCUGUUGUAAAGCCUUUGCCGCGGUGGCUCUUGGCACAAGAUGAUGGCCACACACUCCGGAGUGGAUCUCCUGGAUGAGUUCAGCCACCUUGUCGAGGGUUAUGCACUUGAGUAGCGCGGCUGCACCCUUCUUGUAAAGAAUACCAUCGAGGAGGACGUACAUUUUUUCUUUUGCAAGCAAUGUUUUGGCGCUCGGGCCUUCUGCCUCCUCGUCCACCUCUCCUUUCAGGGCGCGGAUAAUUGGCGUCAUCCAAGAGGGUGGAUUGUCGAUGACCAUGCUGGCCUUCAAAGUUUUGUCAGGGUCAUCGGCUUCUUCUCCUAUGGAAGGGGCGCGGAUCACCUCGAAGAAUGCGCCGGGUGGCAAAGGUUCCUUGGAACCGACCAUUCAGGCCAAUCUGUCGGCGAGGUGGUUUUCUCCUCAUGGGAUGCGUCGCGCCUCCAUGCCUAGGAAGUACCGUUCCAUAUUGUGAACUUCUUCAAUGUACUUCUUCAUCCUUUCAUCAAGGCGUUGAUAUGACUUGUCCAUUUGGUUAUCACCAGUUGGGAGUCACCUUGGAUGAGGAGGCGUCGAACACCCAUGGCCUUAGCCAACCGGAGUCCGAGAAGGAGCGCUUCGUACUCCGCCAUGUUGUUGGUUGCAUUGAAGUUGAGGUGGGCGGCAUACUCCAGGAUCUUCCCUUCAGGGCUGAUGAGUAUGACUCCAGCCCCGACACCGUUGAGGCGCUUGGAGCCGUCAAACCUCAUUAUCCAGUGUGGUUCGGGGAGCUCGGCCUUGGGCGACGUCUCUUCGGGCAGGGCUUGCGGCGCAUGCCAUUCGGCUACGAAGUCGGCGAGGACCUGGGAUUUUAUAGCCGUUCUCGCGGUAAGCUCCAGCGAGAAGGGAGCCAGUUCCGUUACCCAUUUUGCGAUACUCCCGGUGGCUUCCUUGUUGCCGAAGACUUCUUUGAGGGGGAACGUCAUUGGCACCAUGAUGGUGUGGCCCAUGAAGUAAUGACGCGGCUUUCGAGAGGCCAUGAGGAGGGCGUACGCGAUCUUCUCGUCUGCGUGUAUCGACCCUUUGCUCCUCCCAAAGCUUAGCUCACGUAAUACACCGGGCGUUGCGACCCAUCUUCUUCCUUCACGAGGGCUGCACUCAUGGCGACUGAGUCGCGGCGAGGUACAGGAGCAAAGGCUCUCCUUGCUUCCGGCUUGUGAGCAGUGGAGGAGUCGACAAAUAGGCCUUGAGUUCCUUGAACGCCCUUUGAGCUUCGGCGGUCCACUCAAAGUUGUUGAGGCCCUUUAGGACUUUAAAAAAAGGAAGACCCUUCUCGGCUGAUCGAGCGACGAAUCGUCCUAAUGCCGCCAUCCUCCUUGCUAGGCGCUGCACAUCUUUGACGGAGCGGGGGGGGGGGGGGGCUCCAUCUCCAGGAUGGCCCGGAUUUUUUCCAGGUUGGCCUCGAUUCCCCGUUGGGAGACGAGGAAACCCAAGAGCUUUCCUCCUCGGACUCUGAAUGCGCACUUCUCGGGAUUGAGCUUCACGCCGUAUUUGCGGAGGUUGUUGAAGGUUUCCUGCUGGUCUUCGGGAUGGGUACUCGCCGCUUGAUUUUUGAUGACGGCGUCAUCAACAUAGACUUCGGCGUUUCUCCCCAAUUGCUCUUUGAGGAUAAGGCUGACGAGGCGUUGGAAAGUCGCACUGGCGUUCCUCAACCCAAAAGGCAUUCUGCGAUAGCACAAGGUGCCAACGGGAGUGAUGAAGCUGGUCUUCUCCUCGUCUUCCUUCGCCAUGUGGACUUGGUGAUACCCUGAAUAGGCGUCCAAGAAGCUUAACCUGUCGCAUCCCGCCGUGGAGUCGACUAGCUGGUCGAUUCGUGGGAGAGGGUAGUCGUCCUUGGGGCAUGCCUUGUUCAGGUCGGUGAAGUUGACACACAUUCGCCAUUUGCCUUUGGCUUUCUUCACCAAGACCGGAUUGGCCAACCACUCGGGGUGCCAAACUUCUCGGAUGAGUCCGGCCUCGGAGAGCUUUGCAAUUUCUUGCUUGAUGACUUCGCUUCGCUCCGUGGAGAGUUUCUGGAGUUUCUGCUUCACGGGCGCCUUGUCGGGCCUUACGGCGAGUCGAUGCUCCAUGACAUCACGCGAGACUUCUCCCAUGUCGGAGGGGGACCAAGCGAAAAGGUCAGAGUUUUCCCGGAGCAGGUCGAUGAGCUUCUUCUCGAGUUCGAUCGAGAGGUCGGCUCCGAUCUUCAUGAUGCGCGUGGCGUCGUUGUCGGAGACGCGUAUCUCCUUAAGCUCUCCCUCGGGAAGAGGCUUAGGGAUGUAGCGUUCCGAGUGAUCGGACUUGGACUCCCCUGCUCCCGAGAGCAUGUGGACACUUUUGGACGCUUCUCCCUUCUCGGCGCACUUAGUCUUGUGGCGAUAUAGCGUCUUCCUAUCGGAGGAUUGUUCGCCACGGACCGUGACCAUGCCUUUUGGGCCCGGGAUCUUCAUGCAUAGGAAGUUGUGGUGGACGGCAGCGCAGAGGCGGUUCAGGGUCGUCCUGCCGAGGAUGGCAUUGAAGGAGGCCUCCAUGUCCACCACGUCGAAGCGUACGAGCUCGGUUCGAUGAUUAGUGGCAUCCCCGAAGGUCGUGAGGAGCUCAAUUUGGCCGAGCGGCUGGAUGGACUUGCCGGGGACGAAGCCGGUUAGGGGGUAAAGCGAUGGUUGCAAGGAACCGUUCUUCUAUCCUCCUCGCGGCUCCAUCAGCUUUUUUAGCGUACUCAGGUACAAGAUGUCGGCAGAGCUUCCGCCGUCCACGAGUAUUUUCUUGAGCUCGCAAUUUGAGACGAUGGCCGUCAUGACAAGGGCGUCGUCGUGUGGGAAGCGUAUCCCCUUAGCGUCUUCUUCGGUGAAGGAAAUGGGUACACUUGUCCACUUGGGUGGUGGUGUCGGGUUCCGACGACGUUGACUUUGCGUGCAUACUCCUUGCGCUGUCUCUUUGACUCUCGGCCGGUGGCGGAGCCCCCGAGUAUCACCCCGACAUGGUGAGCGGGUUCUUGAAACGGGAGGUUCUCUUCCUUGGGCGCAGGGUCGGCUAGGAUGACGUUGGCGGGGCGCGGGGCCUCGGGCGCCUUCUCGUCCUUGCGUUGGGCCUGCAUUCGUGCUUGGAACUCUUAACGGGCUGCGAUGAGGGUAUUGCACUCUUUGGUGCUGUGGCUCGCUGAGUUAUGGAUGAGGCAUCUUCCGACGCCUCCCUCGGCGGGGCGAGGAGGCUUCUUGGGCUGCCAAGUCUUUUGGGACGAGUUUUGCCCUUCGACGGCGAAGAUCUUUCGAGCUUGGUCGCCGGGCGCCUUCUUCUCCCGCCUCCUCUUCCUCCUGGAGGGUGGUGCGGAUGCCUGGGGCUGAUCUGACGAGGGAGUUCCUUCAGGUGCGCCGCGCGGCGCGUCCUUCUUGGCGAUGUCUCCAUCUUCGCCUCGAGCGUAUUCUUGCAAGACUCGGUAGAGCUCUUCGGUCGUCUUUGGAGGAUUGCGACUUAGAGCGCGGUUUACUUCUCCUUGGAGAAGGCCUUGCUUGCAAGCGUCGAUCACAGUCGUCGAUGGCGGGUUGGCGAUUUGGCUUCGGACCUUCGCAAAGCGAUGGAAGAAGUUUCGGAGGGACUCCCCCGGCCUUUGUUUCACGGCGUAAAGCUCGUGAGCUUGCAUGGGUUCCUUGAAAUUUCCCUGGAAGUUGGCGAUGAAGACCUCCUGGAGGCGCUCCCACGAAUGCACGGAAUUCUUCCGCAGGUUAUAGAACCAAGUUUGUGCCAUCUCGGUGAGUGCGAGCGGAAAAAGAUUGCACAUCUCGGUGGGGCCUCCACCUACUGCUCGUAUGGCGGUGGAGUAGACGUCCAGGAAUUGAAGAGGGUUGGAUUCUCCGUCGUAUGGCCGUAUCGUCGGCGGCUUGAACCUUGGCGGGAAAGCUGCGUCUUGGAUUUCCCGCGUGAGCGGGUUACAAGAUGGUCGGCCCUUCCGGUUUUUUCGGCGACGCGAUCCUCCUUCGUCGGGGUCGCUUUCAUCGCUAGAGGGGUCACUCGGAGAGGGAUCUCGGCGUCUUCUUGGGGGGUCGGAGCGUCGGUGAGGAUUUCUUUCAUUGCCGGUGAGGGCUCCAGACUCCGCCACCUGAUCGUUUCCGUGUACGCUGGGAUCUCGAUCUCCGCGGGGCGCACCUUGAGGCGGAGCUUGGUUGCCGCCUUGUUCGGCCCCGGUGGGGGGAACAAGGGGCGCUUGCUGGGCGCUCGCAAAGCGCGGUUGGUUUGGAGCGUGUGCGACCUGGAGAGAGCCAUGCGACGGAAGCCCCCAAUACGGAUGGUACCAAGGAGCUCCAUUGGCAAUUGCGGCGAGCGCUAAUGGAGAUAGUCCUAGGUUGGAGGGAUUGUAAGCCGGGGCUCCUUGGUUUUCCAGCGCGGAUCCUCCUGAGACCACAUUGUUUCCUCUUGUAGGUUCCGAGGGCAAGGUGACCACCGGUCGCAGGGGAGGUGGCGCGAAGCCCAUCGAACGAGGCAUACCAAGUUCCGUGUCCCAUGCGGGGCCGGUAACCACAGGUAGCUCGCUGAUCCUUGCCACCACGUCGGUGAGGGUCGACAGACCGCCCACGACAGUUCCGAGUGCUUUGGCUCCUUCGGGGACGGCCGGGAGAGGGGGUGCGGCCACGACCUCCGUCGUGGCGCCCAUGCUUGCGGCGGCGUCCGGAUUGGUGAGAAUUUCUCCUUCCUCGGGAGCCCCCGAGGUGCUCGCUUUCUUUGUUUGUAACCGUGUAGAUUUCGCGGCAAGUUGGACACCUGAUGAAGUAGGCUUCGUCGGUGCCAUCAAAUCUUCAAUUGCGGCGAUGGUUCCCCACAGUCGGCGCCACUGUUGUUGUUUUAGAAAACAACAGGAGUACAGGGUGCCAAUGCACGAUGACACAAAUGCGAGAAUAAAGUGUUGGGGGUGUACACCGGCCUUAUAGCGAAGGUCGCCGUACACUUGGGACAAGUUGACACGUCGAUAUUUUUUGAAUAGGUUCGGUCGACCCUGCAGGUACGACUUAAUCCUAUGUUCGGAGAGGCUUCGAGGGGGUCGUUAGCCAAGCGCUUGGGCCGAACUCGUCUUCCCAGGUCGCCUAUAGCGAGAGAGAUCUCUAGGGGCCGCCUCGGACCUGGGCCGAACUCGUCUUCCCAAGUGGCGAGGUUAGGAUACCCUCGAGACUCUAACCCGAUCCCUCUACUUCGAGUCGAGGUCGUACUAGACGGCCCGGAACCUCAAAACUAGGCUUCUCAAGUCGCGUCUCCGAGGUCGAGUCGAGACUAGACUCAACCCAAGCACUUGAGAGCGGGCUCCUUGAGAUGCUCUAGCUCUCUCCCCUUUGAUCUUAUUCCAAUGAAGAGUGUCUGAUACAUGCUCCAUGGGGGGUAUUUAUAGCAUAGGGAUCCAUGACAAAAGACCAUGGCUACCCUUGAGGGAGAGGGAAAGUAAGGGUAAGGUGAUAAAUUUGCUCCUAGAGCUUUCUUUGGCCCUUACUCUAGCUCCUUUGACCAUGGCUUGGAGGGCUUGACCCUUUGACUCCUUUGACCGGCGUCUAAUUGGCAUGGGUAUGCCUUGUUGGCGAUUUGAUUGGUCUCCGGGAUUCGUUGACUUGGUCGUCGCCACGUAGGAUCGCGGGCCAGCCCAUGUAAAGAUUUUAUUAUAUUAUAACAAGAAGGAAAAGCUAAUUUGGGGCAGAAAUUUGAGGGAUGUGAUUGGAUGACGAGGGUGGACAUGAGAAGGACAUAUGUCCAUUUGCUUCUCCAAAUGAGCAAAAAAGAGACAUUUUGGGACAAAAUUUGGGGUGUCCCGUUGGAUUUGGUAGAUGACUGAAUCUUAACAAAUUGGAACACCAAGCUGCUGUCCUUGGAAUGUUAUACUGGCUUUGGUAGAUGACUGAAAGCGGUUUCCUCUGUUGGAGAAGAAACACAAGUGUUUCUUAUGUACACAAGAGGUCUCACAAUCCCUUGAAAUCAUACGAUACUGAUAUUUAAAGGCGUCAGCUUCCUCUAGCUCAAAGGCUUCAGCUUCCUCAGCUGAUUGGGGUUUAGGAUUUACCAUUGAGGCACCCCAUUUAGAAUGAACAGUUCAGUUGCUACGUAAGAUCGCCACAAAUCUAGUAAAUGAGCUUAAAACUUUUCAAAAUUACAAUACAGAUAGCUUAGUAAGAUGCAGUAGCUUCAUAAAAUACAGAUACAAGAGUACAUUACAGAUAGCAUCGUAAAAUACAUACAGAUACAAAAGUACAUUACAAAUAGUUUUAAGAUCUUACAUCUCGGUAAAAUUAUUACUAAAGAAGUUCCAUUGCAUUAUUUAGUAGCUGCACAACGCACCUGUGCUCUGCUUGACAAAAUCUUCAGGUAGUUUGUGUGUGCAUGUCUAGAUCUUACACCAAUAAAAGAUUUCAAAAGUGGUUCUAAUAAGAUCUUGAAUUGAUAAGGGAUUACAGAAUAGUUUAAAGAAGAUAUUACAUCAAUAAACUACUAUAAAAUAACUGCAUUAUUUAAGUAGGUGCCACAACACGCCGAUGCUCUGCUUCUCGAAAAAAAUCUUCGGGUAUUUUGGGUGUGUCUCGAGACGGUGUUCUCAUCCUCCAGUGUGGCACUGUGCUGUUCCUGUCCAAAUUUGCAAACAAUGAGAAAGGUAAAACAUCAUGGGCACCGUGCAAUUCCAGACCAUGUUGCGAUUCAGUUAGUAUAAUUUCUAUAUACUGCAACCCUUGGCAGAAAAAGGAACGAGAAGUAUGGCGACCAACAAGAUGAUGAAUCCGAGGAAAAACAAGGUAAAUAAAGGAGGCAAGGGUUGUUACAAGACAAAAACAUGCCAGGUAUUUGAUUCACAGUUCAAUCUAAUUGAUUUGUGGUUAAUUUGACUAACAACUUUUUUGACUUCUGACUAUAACAAAAAAAAUUAUUCCAAAUUAAUUGAUGCUAAAACAUCUGGAAGUAUGAGAUAGUAUGGUAGUCGCCGAUCGCCUAGGGCCUAGAUCUAAAACCUGAGUGUAAAUCAUGGGAAUUUUCAUAUUAGAAUUAACACGCAUGCCUAUUUAUGUGAAAAGAGGAAAACAAGCAUGCCUAUCACAAUCCGAAAUUGCAAAUCCUAACGUCGAAGAUGAACCUUCAGUCUUUGCCAUGUUUGCUCAUCUCAUAUUUUCUGUUCAUUUCAAGAACAUAAUGUUGGUUGAUCUGGUUUAGAACCGGAAACAAACGCCUAUAGAAUCACAUCCUUGAUUAGGGGCUGUGAAUUAGGAAUUGAUGAGGGAAUGUCAUGAACCAACUUUCAUGACAUUAAUCCCGCUAAUCGCCCCCUGAUCGGGGUAUUCCCAACAAACAAUUACGAACCUUACCAAUCUAGGGAGGUGCUGAAGCUACGGGAAGGCCGCCGCCGACCACGACGUCCUCACCGGUGACUAGUCAAUGCCGGUACAGACCAGAGGGACGCCGCUACCUGCGUCGGACCUCCACUGCUACGACUCCGGCCAUCUACACCAACACCACUACCAUGUCUACUUCCAGUAUGGUACCGGUUUACACCUAAUCUCACUGUCUAUGUACUCUAUAGAUGACUAGUGCAUGUCUAAUGUUAAUCCUAAAGAUGCAAAAUAUCUAACACAUAACCAUACAUUAGGAUGGAUGGAUGGAUGGAUGGAUGUACCUCUUGUUCUCGAGCAAUUCCCGGAGUUCAUCGAUGAGUUGCACCUCGUCCAACAUUGUUGCAUUCAAAUAGGAGUACUUGUCAAGUUGGCGAAGAAUAUCCAUGAAAACUUUCUUUACGUUAGGAUUUUGACCCACCGAAAUAAAAGCCUUGCAAACGAAUUCCUCUUGUAGCUUGUCGUAGACUGCUUUGGCAAGAGUCGUCUUGCCAAGUCCUCCAAAUCCAACGAUGGAAAGUAUCUUGAGUUGCAGCUUGGAGUUGGACACACCAUCACCCCCUUCCAUCAGCCUUUUGAUUAUCUCAUUCCUUGGCUCCUCAAUGCCAACGAGCUCUUUCUGAUCUUUGAACAGAUUAAUCAUGCGAGGAUCAAUAGUGUUUGUGGCAGCUGAAUUAGCACAAACAUCGUCGACCUUGUAUCUGUCACGCAGAUCAGCCACCUCCCUGACUCGAACCUUGAUAUCUUGGAUCUUGUCGGCGAUCUGAUGACGGGUCUUGCCUUUCUUGAAGAAGUCGGCGAUCUUUUUUCUGAAUCUUUUGGAUCUCUUCAGAUCCGCGUCUGGCUCGGAGCCCUCGACGCGCACCAUGAAGCUGUCGACUAUAUCCUCCAUCUCGUACGUCAGCUGCUUGACAUUGCGAGCCCAAAGCCGGACCUGCUUGUCCAGCUGGUCCCGUGGCACCUCAGCCACCUUGGCAAGAGCAACCUCGAUGCUCUCCAGCUCCCUCGACAGAGACUGGACGUCUUUCUUCAAGCCCGUCUGCAGGUUGUACUCCUUCUGGAGGAGCUCGGCUAGCUUGGGGAGCAGGGAGCUCAUGGCCCCCGUCGCCAGCUCCAUGCCGAGGGCGAGCUUCCUCCUCUGCUUGCUUCGUGGAAUACAAAUUACAGAGUGAUUCUGAUGUACUCUAGUUGGUGCUUGAAUGUCUAGUUGAAUACUCCGUGGGAGUUCAAUUCCCCCAAGAACGACAACACGAGAUCCUAAGUCGACAUGGCCGGAUCUGCAGGACGAAACCGAAUCAAGAAUCUAAAAUCAUUCCCCAAAUUAAAUACUUCCCCAAGAAUCCCAGAUCGAACUAGCUAGUAGACAUCUAACCGCAGAUCCCAACUCACCGAGCUAGAUCCGCAGGAACCUCCGCUAGCUAGCUCCUCGAGCCCUUGCUGCUGCUUGUGGACAGCAUGGACGCUGUGGGGAAUGGCCGCAUGGAUUGGUGGAGUUUGCUUUGCUAGAUGCGCAGUACUAGUCGAUUUUGGCUGAAAUGGGAAUGCGAUUCAGUGGAAAUUGGGGUGGUAGGUAUACCCAUAAAAGCGAGCAACAUUAUUGGAGUGAUCAGUGAAAGGUAAUAGUAAUGCUUGCACUGUUCAGGAAACAAGGAAAUGUGUGACCAAGUUCUUCUCCGUGUAUCCAGUCUCCGGCGCUGUCGGCAGCAAAGACCACGGACGUGCGUGUGCUUACGUCAUCUUAGCGAUGUCACCCACGUGACGUAGGCCCUUGCUGUCUGUCUGGCCCGGCCAACGAUCUAUGCUGGAUGCAUACAUAGUGUGGUGCUGAACGAAUUCGCAAAUUCAUCUAACCAGGAAUUUUGAAGGUAAAGCGAACGUUAAUUCCGGUUCUCCCCCGGUCCAGGUAUAGGAGUCCAUGGCUGAAUCCCAAGAAAUCAUCGCCAAGCAAUCCAAGGUGCAAGGAUAUUUACAUUGACUAGCUAAAUUAAUCCCAAGAAAUCAUCACCCCAACCUACAAGAGAAGAGAAAGGGCCAAGAAUUGAAGCCGUUUCCGUGCGUUUAGGCAAGUUCCAGCCCAAGCGCAAGCCCCUUUCCUAGGGAUAUCCAUCGCUCCGCCAUGCCGACCGCUCGAGAUUCGUGCAAGAACAAGAGGUAAACUUCUCCUUCUAUUCUGCUGGUUGCUUUUGUACAAGGAAAUUCUUCCUGGUUUGCCUUUUUUAUGUAAUAAAGGAAUGACCGUGCUAUUCUUUAGAUUGCAUCACAUAAAAGGACUAUUGAGAUUGUAAGCUGGUGUCAUUAGGUAGGACUGCUACAUUGCGAGCAUGCUGUUUCAGGUCAUGCAGUCUUCCUAUCCGGCUAUCAGCCAUCUUAAAAACAUGAGAUCCAUGACAAAACAAAUCCUGACAUGUCAUUUUACUUUGGCAAGAAUUGUUUUGCGAGAUGUCAAACUAAUAUGUGAAUCUGCAACCCCCCAUGCUGCACUUUGAACAUGCAGGCCCAUGUCAUGCAAACUGGAGUGGACUAGCCAAACAGAAAUUGUGAUCUUUUUGUUGCUAUUAUAUUCUUGAUUUUUCAUAAAUUAGGAUGAUAGAUCGAUCUCUGUUAAGAAAAAAUUGAAUACGGAAAGGUAUACUUCGCCAAGAUCUAUGACAAACAUGAAAGCGUAGGUUGCUUACAUGAAGGUGGGAUUGUUGGUUGAUUAUCUUCAGGUGUUUUUUUGUGUUUUCAUGCAUUAGCGACAUAUACAGACAUACAACCCAUUUGAAAACCAUUUUUCUCUUAGAGUAAAUUGCAGAAAGACACAUAUGUAGAGGCUCUUGUAACAAGGAACUCAAAAGCUUUUAACUGAUACCCACUAAUCAUACGGUAAUGAGUAACAAAAAACCCUGAAAUCGACCGGUUUGCCCAAGUUAAUCACUCACGGCCCACAUGUCAUACAAAGGAAUAUAAUUUCUAGAUCAAUUUCAAGGAAAACGGUUUGAGCCGAGAGACGAGCCGAGUCGGCUUAGGCUAUCCCCUCCGAGGAGUCUUUCUUCUCCAAGCCCAGCAGGUGCGCCGCCGCUCCCGAUCUGCUCGACCGAAGCCUCCCCCGUGACCCGUUCCGGCGCCAGGGGUGCGCCUCGACAUCGCGAAGCUUCUCCCCAAGUCGCCUGCGUGUCUCCUUCACCGGAGCAUCUCCGCCUCGGAGCUUCUCCUCCGGCCACCGUGGCCACCGUAGCGGGCCUCCUCCCGCACUGCAACCUCGCAGGCGCUGCCACCAUCCUCUUCCCCUUGCCGGCGCGCACGCGUGGGCAAGAUCCACACGUCGACCCGCACUCCGAGACCUCCGCCCCCCAUCUUCUUCCUCGUGCUCGUGGGACGGAUCCGCCGCCGGCACAGAUCGGCAGAUGCACAUCCCCGUGGCGGGGGUGGCGGCCAUUAACUUGGCCAAACCCAUAAGUUUUGGGUGUUUUGUUAAUCAUUAGUGUUGGACUUGUGGGUAUCAGUUGAAAUUUCCUGGGUUCGUGGUUUUCUGUUACAAGAGCCGUUAGAUAUGUGUUUCUCUGCAAUUUACUCUUUCUCUUAUUACCAAUUAUAGCACUAUAAUUCAUAGAAAUGCUUUGAUUUCUUUUUAAGUGCAGGGAUAGGCAGAAUCUGAGAUUCCACUAGGAAAAGUGGAGCUUGAGGAUUCUCUACAGGUGGGUGUUUGAUAACUACCAUUGUCCUGAGCUUCAUCUAACUAACUUGACACACUUUUUUUUGGCUAGCCAAUGGGAAUACAAGAUUGAGCACAUAUUUAUUAUUCUUUUCCUGACCUUGCCCUUUUUUGUAUGUAAGUUCAUAUUUGAUCCCAUAGAAAUAUUUCCUUUUGUGAUUUGGCUGUCCACUUUGCACUUAAUCCGUACUCCCUCCAUUUCACAAAGGUUGGCGUAUUUUGUUUCGUUAAGACAAGACUUUGACCAAUGAUAACUCUAUUAAUAUGUGUUUUUACAUACAUGAAAUUUACGUCAAUAGAUUCGUCUUUAAAAGUUCUUUCUAAUAAUCAUGAUUUUGUAUCAUAUUGGUUACAUAUUAAUAGUAUAAUUCUUGGUCAAAGCCUUAUCUUAACGAAACAAAAUACCCCAACCUUUGUGAAAAGGAGGGAGUAUUAUUUUUUCUUGGAAUUCCCUGUUAUAUGGAUUGAAAAUGCAGUCCCUUAUUUAUCAGGGACCACCAUAAACAACAGGUUGUAUAUGUGGCCUUCAGAUGCCAAAUAGAUUCUAGAUAGGUAUGGUUCUAAAGUAAUGUCAAUAUUUCGAAUCCAUGACCUGGUUUCCCUUUGUGAUAGGUCUAUAUUUCUACGGUUUUCUCAUUUACUUUAGUUUAGGCCUCACUAAUCUUUGUGCCUAAUGUAGUUUUGGAUUGAUGUGUUUAUCAUUGAAAUGUUGUUGGCGUGAAGCACUCUUUUGAAUGGGUUGCUAAAAACUGCCGACGUUUUGCGUCCGCCGAUUUGAGAAUUCUGCUGUUUCGCAGAUAUGCGUGCUUAUCCCACAUUUUUCCGUGGUAUUUUUGUGGUUCACCUUUUCUGUAAACAGUUUUUCCAAAUGCUUAGUUGUUUUUUGUUUUUGGCAGAAUAAAAUGUUUAGGGGCAAGAUGCUUUUGGAUGCUCGUGUUGAGAAUCAAAGAGCGAUGGUGGUUCCUGUCGUCUGGACGUCCAAAGCUGUUGAAGAUUGUGAUGCCUACAAAUGCACAAACGGCUAUACUAAUAGGACUGCCACGCCAAGGUAUCAGAAACUUACAUCAAGUAUUUUUUAGUGUAUUACAUAGGUGUGCUAAACAUGUAUUUGAUGCAGAUACAAACUGGUUAUCAUGGCGGCUGAUGAGGGUUCAGCUGUGGAGAUGGUGUUUUAGUGGCAGAUUCUUACAGCCUAAGAUUCUAUCCCUCGUGAAAUUUAGCGUUGAUUGGGAGGAAAUAUGUUGUUGAUGUGGCCGUUCUGUAUUCAUUUCACAGGGCCCGUAUCCCUCGUGAAAUUUAGCGUUGAUUGGGACGUCCUGAAGGUGGUGCAAUUUUUUCUCACUUUAUGUUGCUUGGUGUGCCAGCUGAUGUGUUACCUGAACCUCUACCUCCUUCAUUAGGUAAUAGUGCUCAUCACCUGAUUAUGCCUGUCCGUACUGAAAUCAAAGAUUGAUGGUCUUUCUAGAUCAGCUAGAUGAUUGUUACUCUUUUGUUUGUGAGUAGGAAUUGAACAAUCUGUCGUCGUUGAUCUGGUUGUGCCUGAAAAGAGUUUAGGCGAAGUGCUUACCACAGACACCCCUCCUAGGAUACUUUAGUUUUUCUAUUGAUCUAUCCUUUCGUCCUACUAAUUCAUAGUAGUUAAGGUCCCAAUCUAAGUAGUGACUCCUUCCUAGGCAAAUUUGCCACGACAAGUAUUUAGGAACGGAGGAAGGAAGAUCCAUGGAAAGUGCUAAAGUUGUAAUAAAUCCAAGAGAGAGGGAUUACUAAUCCGCCACACCUUGCGCACAUGAACAACAAAAAAACAAGUAGAUCACCGGUGACAAGGUAGCAAAGAUCAAUUCAAGAGAAGGGGGAGCACUGAGUGGAAUAGCUAGCUGGGAACAGGCUGGGUUUAUACUAUGCUGACUAGAAGCAAUCACCGAAUGAGAAAAAGAUCCGAUGUUGAAGAGAAUAGAAUAUAACAAUCAAAGAACCGUCCAAAUCUUCAAACCCACAAGAAACACCCGAGUUGACAACGUCGCAGCGAAGCGCGACUGUCCAUCUAGUAUACUAUAUCAGGUACAAUUCACGCCUGCAAUCCAUCAUUAUGUGUAUUUUGCAUAUUCAAGGUAAAUAUGCAGUAUUGUCCAUCUGACCUCGGUGCCAUUUUGACGACAUGUACCUGAGCAAAGGUCUUGUCUAGCUCAAAGGCACGAUCUUCCUCGAUGUACCCUAUCUGCCAAUUGCGAUUUAGGAUUUUACCAUUGAGGGCACCACAUUUAAAAUGAACAGCUCAGUUGCUAUGUAGGAUCACCACGAAUCAAGUAAGUGAGCCAAUUGGGAUUUAGGAUUUUACCAUUGAGGGCACCAUAUUUAAAAUGAAAAGCUCAGUUGCUAUGUAGGAUCACCACAAAUCAAGUAAAUGAGCUUAAAACUUCCAACAAUAACAAUAUGGAUAGCUUAGUAAGGUACUGUAGCAUCAUCAUUCCAACAAGUAGAUCCUAAAUUUGACCAAAAUACAUUACAAAUAGUUUAAAUAAAAUAACUGCAUUACAACAUCUUAAGGUAGUUUGGGUGUGCCUGAUCUUACAUCAAUAAAAGAUUGCAAAAGCGGUUCUAAUAAGAUCUUGAAUUGAUAAGGGAUUACAAAAUAGUUCAAAUAAGAUAUUGUCACCAAUAAAAUAACUGCAUAAUUUUAGUACUUGCCACAACGUGGCCAUGUUUUGCUGAUUGACGAAUCUCCAGGUUGUUUGGGUGUGUGUCGACUUUCUCAAGAUGGUGGUUCCGUCCUCCUGUGUUGCCAUGCGCCGUUUCUGUCCAAACUUCCAAAGAAUCAGAAAGGUAAAACAUCAUGGGCGGUGUACAAUUUCGGACCAUUUUGCAAUUCAGUUAGUAUAAUGUCUAUGCUGCAACCGUUGGCUGAUGACGUAAGUAAGCUAACUAUGACAAAAAAAAAGGAAAAGAAAAGAAGAGAAAUGCUAAAAAGAGCUAGCCGUUUGAAGAGAAGUACGUACGUACGUACGUAUAAUGUCUAUGCUGCAACCGUUGACUGAUACUAAUUUCUGGAGUUCCUUUUCUUUUUUGAGCAAAUAAUGUGGCAACAGAUUACAGGAUGCUAGAAAGUAAACGUUUUAAAUAUACUGGUAGGAUCGAAAAAUAAUUUGAGAAUGCAAAAAGUAAUUUGCAAUAUUUAAAAUUCAGUUAUUGUUAUUCUGGCACGAAAAUGUACACGUAUCUGAAGAGAAGUACUGAAAAAGGUAGGGAUCAGUCACCAGUGCAUGUGGGGAUGUACGUACGUAAAUGCGCACUUGUGUUUCAAAUGCAUGCACAUAAAAACUUAUCUGGUAAUAAGGUGUUUUCAUCUGCAUGUAAGUACUAGUACGAGUUUUAUCUAGCAGUUAAUAUCAGCGCGUCCUUGUGAUCGAAUCAAUUAAUUGGGGUAAUACUAGUUGAGUAGAUAUGAUCAGGCCUGGAAGGAAUGUACCUCUUGGUGCACCUGAUUGGAAUCGGACGCUCAAACUUGGCGCCAUUGCGCUCGUCGCGGAUGUAACAUUGGACACAUUCAAGGCUGUGCAUGGCUCCCUGAAGGAACCUGGAAGAUCCAAUCGUGAAGUAGUACCUUAGCUUGGGAAAUGCACCGCCGCCCAUGAUGUCAAGAAUGAUGACGUCAGGAUUAGUAUUCAGGUCGAGGUAAACGAGCUCUGGGAACCUCCCAAGGACCUCCAUAUCCUGCGCCUCCACGGCAUUCGGUCCCACCGUCAAGUGAGAGAGGUUCGGCAGACUUGAGGAAUUUAACCACGCCGGCAGUUUUUCAAUUGCGACCCGCAGUUUCAGACGACGGAGGUGCCGAGAGAGCACGUAGCCUUCGCAAUUGGUGCGGCCAACAUGCAUCCACCCAACGAGACAACUAACUUGUAUGGCUUGGAGCAUCUCCAGUUGCUCUAGAGAUUUCAUCAUAUUAUUAAACACUAUACUAUCAACUAUGGCAUCAUCAGACUUUCCAAACCAAGCACCGUACUCUCUUAACUCUGUGAGCUUGACCAGUUCUUUCACAAAUUCUAAGGAGACAUAAGGCAAAAAUAUCUCUGGCAAUGUCACGCUCGAACUUGGCACCAUUGCCCUCAUCGCCGAUGCAAUACCGGACAAGGCUGGGCAUGGCUCCCUGCAGGAACCUGGAAGAUGCAGUCGUGACGUAGUAUCUUAGCUUGGGGAAUGCACCGCCGCCCAUGAUGUCAGGAAUGAUGACGUCAUGAUCAGUAUUCAGGUCGAGGUAAACGAGCUCUGGGAACCUCCCGAGGACCUCCAUAUCCUGCGCCUCCACGGCAUCCGGUCCCACUGUCAAGUGAGAGAGGUUCGGCAGACUUGAGGAAUUUAUCCACGUCGGCAGUUUUUCAAAUACGACAUGCAGUUCCAGACGACGGAGUGAGACAAAAUACGGCACAUAGCCUUCACCAUAGGCCAGGUCAACACGCGGCCACGGAGUGAGACAAGUAAAUUGUAUGACUUGGAGCUUCUGCAGAUGUUCUAGUGAUUCCAUCAUAUUAUUGAACAGUAUACUAGUAUUAACUAAGGCAUCAAACCAAGCACCGUACUCUCUCAACUCCGUGAGCUUGGCCAGUUCUUUCACAAUUUCCAAGGAGACAUAGGGCAACAAUAGUUCUUCCAGCAAAACCAGAUUACCGAUCCAGCCCAGUGCUCCUUUGAAAUCACGAGAAAGGCGUAGGCACUUUAGCCGUCUCAACUGACCUACACUCUCUGGCAGCUCUUUUAUUCCAGUUUCCCUCAAGUCCAGUACCUGCAAAAACCUCAGGUUGCCUAUUUCUUCUGGGAGUUCCAUAGUACGUGUUUCCAAGAGGCCAAGGUACCUCAGCUGAAGUAGCCUUCCAAGAUUCUCAAGGUGAUAAGAACCAUCAUUUAUAAAAGUACAUCUUUCCAAAGAAAGAAUUCUCAAGCCUUGGAAGCCCGAAAGAAAUGAUCUUCUCUUGACAUCACACAUGAUGGCAUUGAAUGACCUCACUUGACGUAUCUCUGUGUUAUCUGAAUUAGGCUCUUCAUCCAUGGCUAUGUUUUGAAGAGCUAACCUGCGGACAUUGCUUUGUGAAGGUUGGUGUUCUGUCUUACUACUUCCAUGGACAAUAACAAAAUUUUCUUCCUUUGACAAGUGACAGAUCAUAUCGAGCACCAGAUCAUGCACACCGCAAGCAUAUAUGAUGCUCUUAUAUGGCUCCUCCACCGGCUGGAUCAGACUUCUGUUAAUGAGUUCAUUAAAAUACCUCUCUCCGAUCUCAAAUAACCCCAUCCCUGGUUUCUCAUGGACAAAACCUUCCGCCACCCACUUCCAUAUCAAAGUGUCUUUCUGAAUCUCGUGGUCUUCGGGAUAUAUGCUGAGGUGCAACAAACAUGCCCUUAGAUAACAAGGCAGGUCAUAGUAGCUAUAUAGCAAUAUCUUUCUUGUGUUAUCGACGUGUAUGUUAGCUCCAUCUCCAAAACCAAUAGAGUCAUACACCUCAGACCAAUCCUCCCAUGGUUUAUUGGCCAACAGACUAGCUAUUGUGAUGAUAGCUAACGGCACGCCACCACAUUUCUGUAAAAUCUUUUCAGAUAUCUCAAUCGGUUGACCAGAAGUAAUCUUGCAUAUACCAAUAGAUAAUCUUGUAUAGAAUAAUUCCUUGGAUGUGGCAGAAGAAAGUGGCUUUUGCUUGUAAACAUCGUCCGCCUCUUCGGCAACUUCAAAUAUACGAGUUGUUGUGAUUAUUCUACUUCCACAGUUACUAUCAAUCAAAGCACAUUUCAUUAUAUCCCAUGGAUUCUUGUCCCAUAUAUCAUCAAUGACGAUAAGGUACCUGUUGAAUAUGGCAUCCAUGAGAACCAUGCAUUGGUAGCCUAAAAAAAAGAACCAUGCAUUGGAAAAAAUGUAUAUCUGAGCGUAAAAGAAGAAGAAGACAAUCAGGAAUCCGAAAAUAGCAUUGUUCAAUGUACAACAUCGCGCUUCAUAAAAAAAUUAAGACAUAGGUAAAUAAAGGAGCCGGGCUUGUACGUACUCCCUCCGUUCUUAAAUUGCACUAAAACCACGACAAGAAUUCAGGAACCGAGAGAGUACUAGAGAAAAACAGGCCAUGGGUUCGAUACGUAGUUCAAUCCAAUUGAUUUGUGGUUAAUUUGACUCCCAACUUUUUUGAGUUCCGACUCUAACAUGAAAUUUAUUCCAAAUUGAUGCAAAGUUUCCGACUCUAGCUAACACUAAAUUUGUCCCAUAUGUACCAAUUAAAAAUCCUAGUACACAAAUGUAAUCCAACUAAUAGAAAUAUUCAAUACAAAUUCAACAGUACAUAAUAAUGUAAAGUUUUGUGCCUACAACCUCGAGCCAAUCCAAGCAUCUCGCCGCUCAAGCCUCAAGGGCAACUGAAAGCGAGUACUAGUGUCAUGCCGCUUCGCUAGUAUUUUAAGUAACCACUGUCUACUGGUGCUCCGUGAUUUGUGCAAAAAUCAGUGGGAAGGAACUUCUCUAUUCACCACUGAAGUACCAAGACUUAUUAAAGGGUGCAAAGUUUCACAUAAGAAUAUGCCUAAGGAAAUCCCAAAUCAUGAUACUGAAAACAUCUCGAGGAAAAUAAAUGAAAUCUUCCCUUUUUGCUACGUUUGUUCAUUUCAUGUUUGCAUGAUCAUUUCAACAAACAUAAAAAAGGGGUGAAUAGAUGUACCUCUUGUUUUCAAGAAAUCCUCGGAGUUUUCUAAUGAGUUGCUCCUCGUUCAACAUCGAUGCAUUCGAACAAGACUGCUCAUCAAGUUGGAGGAGAAUAUCCGUGAAAACUUUCUUCAGAUUAGGAUUUUGACCCACCGAAACAAAAGCCUUGCAAUCGUAGUUUGAUUGUAGCAUAUCAUAGACUGCUUUGGCAAGAGUUGUCUUGCCAAGUCCUCCAAAUCCAAAGAUGGAGAGUAUCUUGAGCUGCAUCCUGGAGUUCAACAAACAAUCAUCCCCCCCUUCCAUCAUGAGCCUCUUGAUUACCUCAUUCCUUGGCUCCUCAAUGCCAACCAGCUCUUUCUGGUCUUUGAACAGAGCCGUUAUGCGAGGAUCAACGGUGUUCGUUGCAGACAGAUUAGCACGAACAUCGUCGAUCUUGUAUCUGUCACGCAGGUCAGCCACCUCCUUGACUCGAACCUUGAUAUCUUGGAUCUUGUCAGCGAUCUGAUGACGAGUCUUGCCUUUCUUGAAGAAGUUGGCGAUCUUUUUUCUGAAUCUCUUGGAUCUCUUUAGGUCUGCAUCUGGCUCGGAGCCCUUGACGCGCACCAUGAAGCUGUCUACGAUAUCCUCCAUCUCGUACGACAGCUGCUUGACAUUGCGAGCCCAGAGCCGGACCUGCUUGUCAAGCUGGUCCAAUGGCACCUCGGCGACCUUGGCAAGAGCAACCUCGAUGCUCUCCAACUCCCUCGAUAGAGACUCGACGUCUUUCUUCACGCCAGUCUGCAGCUUGUACUCUCCCUCGACGAGCUCGGCGAGCUUGGGGAGGAGGGAGCUCAUGGCGCCCGUUGCGAGCUCCAUGGCGAGCUGAAUUUCUCUCCUCUUUCGCUUGAGAUGUCGUUUUGUUGGUAAGUGCCAGUGGUCAAGUGUCGAUGGUAUGGGGUGAGCAUGGAGAACCCAUAGCUAAUGCAUUGGCUAUUUGGCUUGACAUGAGAGUUUCUCAAAAACGGGUUUCCUCGAACCCCUUCUAGUUCAUCGUUACACCAUACUCCUAAUGGCUCGUUCUAAUCGCUGGGUUAUCCGUGCAAGUGCACAUGGUGCAACGUGCUACGCAGAUUUAGGCUUUGACUGUGCUAACUGCCCAUGGUAUAACGUUCAUACUGAUUAAGGUAAUCACAUAGAUCCAGGGCUAAUUAAUUUAAUUAUUUCACUGUCCAGUUGCUCGUAAUCUAAGUUCUCUUUUCUUGGCAAAGGAAAAGGGGGAGACUGACCUCUUACAUUGCACUGCAAUCGCCAUGGCCUAACAUUGGUUAAUUUAGACAACUUAUCUCAAAAUCAAUGGUACUAAUUAAUUAUGUCUUAUAUACUACAUUCCUAUAUUUCAAUUGCCGUGAAUUAUAAUCGAUACCGUUGAUUUUGAGACGAAUAUGAUCUGAAUAGAGCAAUGUUAGACCGUAAAAUUACAUAACAGUCCAUGUUAGAGGAUACUCCUAUACACGAAUUAAUCCGAUAUCGAGAUGGGUAAUUGAGACCCGUGUAUGUCAUGCAUGUGUUUACACGCUGCUCGUCCUUGGAUGCGGCUGGAGUACCGUGUAGACAGCCAGUCGCAAUAGAACUGCAUUUCCAGUUUUCAAAAGUUUUCACUGGCGCACACAUGAUGGUGUGGCUGCUCGUACUAGUACUUUAGGUAUGCCAAGGAAAGAUUCCUAGCCCCCUAAAGAGAAGCUUAAAGCAUUGCUUCUCCAAUGCCAAUCUAUUCAGAAGAUGGUAACCUACAGAGGAGAGAGACCCCUUCUCUUGCCUAGCUCCUUGGUGAGAUUGGUGCCAGUACAAUGAAAGUUUAAGCGUCAGGACAGUCACGCCGUAGUGCCCAGCUGCCUCCUUCUCCCUUGGGCACUUGUGUGAAACGGGAUUAGUAGCUCACAUCUUGCCGACAACUGUUGAUAAAAUUUCAAUUUAGAACGUUCAAAGUGCGCCCCCAUAGGAUAAUGGAGGAUUACUCCAGUUUAGUACAACCAAGAAAAGAUUCUCUGCAUCAGCACCUAAAAUAAGCUAAAUAUACUUGUCUAUCUCGAACUCUGUUUUCUGAAUCUUGAGAAAAAAAAUGCCCUUGUCUUUCCUGGAAUAUGUACAUGUGGAAUGUUGAUACAUUGCUGGUGUAUGACUGAAAGCAUUGUUUGGUUUCUCUGCGGCUAGUCUUACAUUCAGAAGAUGUUCUCUGCUUGUGCAUACCUAGAAGGCAAGAAUGCAAAAAGAAAUUCAGUGUUUGAGCUGCUUGUUCAUAGUUUAGUUCAGGUUGUGCUGCCUUUUAUCUUUCUGGAAUAAUUCCCCUCUUUAUGAGGCCUUUGUCUCUUUUUCCCCUUAAUUAAUGAAAUACAGCGCUGCUGUUUUCGUCAAAAAAAAAGAAUGCAAAAAGAAAUCAGAUAAGGGCCUUGGUGCUCUAUAUGUAUGUAUCCUGGCAAUUUCUGAAUUUGGGGCUAGACAAUGGCGGCUAGCUUUUGUAGUAGAUCGGGGCCUAUUGUUGCCGUUGGUUUCACUGCAUAUGCUCUGAUUCUGAAGCUGAUGCAUUUGGCCUGAGCCGGCCAAUUGUGUUCCUUUCAGAAACAAUGACUGCAACAUGCGAGUCCCAGAAAUUGCAAGUCUGAAGUUCAGACUUAACGGCCUGUUUGACUAACAGCAAGCAAUCUCUGCUUCUGCUAUUAUGAAGUCUGGAUCUUGGAAUGGAAGGGAAGAGGAAUCAGGUUGUGGCUUGGUUUCUUCUGAUUUCUGAUUUAUUAGUACAAUACCAAUUUGUGCAAUUUGGCUAAGCAUAGCGAAUCAAUCAACAAGUAUGGUACAGUAGGGAUUAUCCCCCUCUCACCAACUCCACAUCCUCCUUUUUUUAAUGUUAAUUUACAGAGUGAUCUCGAUCGGUGGCCUUUUCUUUGUGUGAAGGUUGCGAGGUGGCUUGUACACUACAUGCAGAAGCCAAGACUUCUAUUCGAUCUGAUCAACAAAUUGUUUUGGACGACUCAAAUGUCCUCUAGCCGCCCCUACUUAAUCAACAUUCAGCCGUGUUAAUUUAUAAUACCAAGUUGUGCAAAUUAAGUGGUGGGGUUGAUUAAUUAGUGAGUCGAUCAACAAACACGGUUUAGCGAAGAAAGUAUGGUCGCUGAUUAUCCCCACUCAGCCCUCCUUUUAAUGUAAAUUUACAGGGUGACCUCGAUAGGUGUCUUUCUUGUUUGUUUGAUUCACUAGCGUGUACUGUAGUGCGUAGUGGUUGUGUGAAUGUUGCGAGGUUGCUUGUUUAUAUAGAGAAACCGAACUCAUCCAUCGAUCGGCCGGCCUGACAAAUUUUAUAUGGGUUGUGUGUAUGAUCGAUGGAGAUGUUGGAGGAUUUUUUUUCCUUUAAAUUUUUUAUUCUUGGACGGCCUAAAGUCCUCCCGUCACCUUUACUCAAUUAACGUGUAUUAGCCAUACUAGGUGUGCCAAUUUAUCAUAUCAACUUGUGCAAAUUAAGUCAGUCAAUAAACACAGAUCAGCAAAGCAAAAUAUCCCCUCCCACCAAUCCUUUCGUCCUGAUCAUUUCAAACUUUUCACAAGUAGAUUUCAUAUAUACUCCAUAGUUAGCAAAUCACUGUCAGCGUGACCCCGCUGGCGACUAGCCCCCGGGGCUUCACAGGACCUUUCCCUAUCUAUUUUUUUUAGAACGUUUCCCUAUCUAAUUGAAUGGCAAUCAACUGUCAUUUCCUUAAAACAUCGUAGUCAUAAGAAGAUUUUUUUUUAAUGUGAAUCUAACUGCAUGUGUAUAUUGUUUGGCUAAUUCUUGAUCAAAAAUGCAAAUUAGUUUAGUGUGUGACGCUCAAACCCCGCCCUAGGCCGGAUGGUAUGGUACGUGCUUCAAAAAGUUUGUGUAUGUCAAGAUGAGAUCCUUGAACCCCUGCAGAAACGUGAACCGAUAUUUAUACCAUGAAGCUAUAGGUACGUGUCUGAACUUGUGAAAUCUAGUUAGCUGGAGAAAAUUUAGCAUCACUUGCGUCAUAAUUAAUGGACAUAAGUAAGCGUGUCAUAUAUAAGAAAAAAAACACUAUACUGACAGAGGCUUAAUCACGUUACCUUAAAUAUGCUUAGUCCUUGUAUUAACAACUUUUAUGGGCAGUCCUUGCAUAUCAAAAAAAACCGAUGAGUUAACCUAACCUUCCUAAUCCAUAAAAUAAAAUGUCAUGACACAGGCCAGUUGUUUAAUGUCUUGAGCUAAUCAUAAUACCAUUGAUUUUGAGAUUGUUGACUACCACGCCUGCCCCUAGGAAGCUCUUUUAUUUAUACAUUUUAGUACAAUACCAAGUUGUGCAAUUUGGCCAAGCAUAGCCAAUCAAUCAACAAGUAUGGUCAGUGAUUAUCCCCCCUCACCCACUCCACCCUCCUUUUUUUAUGUUAAUUUACAGGUUGAUCUCGAUCGGUGGCCUCUUGUUUGUUUUGAUUCGCCAGCGUGUAGUGAAGGUUGCGAGGUGGCUUGUUCUAUCUACCAUCCAUAAUAAGUGUCCAGCAUUUAAGUACAAAGUUGUACUGUACUAAUUUUGUACUAAAUCCUUCCCGACGCUUACUAUAAAUUGGAGCGAGUAGUAUAUACGGAGUAGAUAGAACCAGAUCGAACUCAUCAAUCCACCGGCCGGCCGAACAAAUUUUCUAUGGUGGGCGUGUAUGCAUCUGCAUGACCAACCGAUGCAGAUUGCAGAAGCUCGACAAAUUGUUCUGGACGACUCAAGGUCCUGUAGCCGCCCCUACUUAAUCAACGUGCAGCCGUGCUAAGCGUGCUGGUAAUUUAUAAUACCAAGUUGUACAAUUUAAGUGAGAGUUGAUUAAUUAGUGAGUCGAUCAACAAACACGGUUUAGCGAAGAAAUUAUGGUCGCUGAUCAUCCCCACUCACCCACUCCAUCCUCCUUUUAUGUAAAUUUAAUUACAGGGUGAGCUCGAUCGGCGUCGCUCUUGUUUGUUUGAUUCACUAGCGUGCAGUGCGUAGUGGCUGUGUAAAAGGUUGCGAGGUGGCUUGUCCCUUGUUUAUUUACUCCUUAUGUUCCUCAAAUUAAGGCAUAUAUUGUUUUUCUUGACCGAACGUUUCACCAAAGAUUACUCUAUCAACGUGCGACUUAUGCGAUAUAAAUCAUAAUCAUAAACAUGUACUUUUGAAUACUAAUCCAAUGAUACCAAUUUUAUUUCAUGACAAAUUUAUAUUAAUAGACUAAAUCAUGGUCAAAAGCUCGGUCAAAGAAAACAAUUUUACGCCCUAAUUUAAGGAACGGUGGGAGUCCAUCGAUAUGCCGGCCUGACAAAUUUUAUAUGGGUGUGAUGUGACUCAAUCGAUGGAGAUGUCGGGGAAUUUUAAAAUUUUAUUCUUGGACGACAUGAAGUCCGGCCUCUAGUCACCUUUACUUAAUUAAUGUGUAUUUAGCCAUACUAAGUGCGCCAAAAUAUAAUACUCUCUCAGUCCAACAAAAUAUGUCUCAAGUUUGUCAAAAUUUGGAUGUAUUUAGACAUGACUUAGUGUAUAGAUGCAUUCAAAUUUAGUCAAAGUUGAGACAUCCGUUGUUGGACAGCGAAAGUAUCAACCUGUGCAAAUUAAGUCGUUGAUUAGCGAGUCGGUCAAUAAACACAUAUCAGCAAAGAAAAUUUCCCCACUCACCACUCCUUUCAUCCUGAUCAUUUCAAACCUUUCAUAAGUAUAUUUUGCAAAUAUCCCCGGGGGGCUUCACAUGGACCUUUUCCUAAAUAAUUGAAUGCCAAUCAACUGUCCUUUCCUUUUUAGAAACGUACAUACCAAAAAAUGAAUGUGAAUCUAACUGCAUGUGUUUAUUAUUUGGCUAAUUUUUGAUCAAAAUGCAAAUUUAAUGUGUGACACUCAAACCCCGCCCUAGGCCGGAUGGUAUGAUCUUUCAAAAAGUUUGUGUAUGUCAAGAUGAGAUUCUUGAACCCCUGCAGAAACGUGAGCCAUUAUCUAUAUACCAUGAAGCUAUAGGUCAGUAUCUGAACUUGGGGAAAGACGUAUCGCCUCCGUCAUAAGUCAUAAGGGCAACUCCAAAGGUUAGCCUCCAUCUGUCCUCUUCAUUUGUCCAUUUGAGGGGUCUUUGGACAUAAAGUGGAUGGACGAAAUAUCAAGCUAACCUCCCAUUUAUUUUUUCAUGAGUUUUUGACAUAUGGGCCAAGAAGACAAAUUGACAAGAUUUGGAUGAGUUUUGCACAAAUAAGAACUCCCCAUACUCUUCCCAAAUUUUGGGAAGAAAUGGGGAAGGGGGGGGGGGGGGUGGACCACUUUUGGACAAAUGAGAAUUCUGCUCAUGGACCCUCAUAUGGACAAAUUUAGACAAAUAGUGAGGAUUUGGGUGUUUUUCUCGGAGAUGGCCUAAGCACGUACGGGAGCAAAUUCCAUUUUUUACGUCGUAAUACUUUGAACACCACUUCAUUUAACAGGGUUUUCACUUUGUUACCAAAUUUAGUUCGAAAGUUUCUAGAAAUGACCCUCUUUAAGGUUUGACCGCGUUCCUGACAGGUCGGUCCCACCUAUAGGCUGAUGUGGAAGUCAAGUCAGAUGCAGCUUUUUCGUAAAAACGUCUCCUGAUGUGGAAUCUGAAUGGGCCGCGGGCGACGAUGUCCCUGGCCAGGACGUGGAAGUUUGUUCGCCGUGGAAUUACUUUAGUAUAGUUUUAUCUUCUCCCGACGGCGAAGCAGCCAGUAACAGGCUACAGCCAGCUACUGCCCGUGUCCCAAUGGCCGGCCUGGGACGGCUGGAGCUUGCCGUCGUCCAGGUGGGAGACGUAUUCUGAAAAGCCGCCUCCGACUUGGACUGACAUAUUCUGAAAAGUAAUUUGUGAAUUAUUAUUUUUGCACUAAAUGGGAUAACAGAGUGAAAACCCUCGUAAUUGGUAUCAUCUUCUUCAAGUAUAGGGUAAAAAAUGAAAUUCACUCUAACCACACGGGUUCCUUCCAUAAACAAAUACUGCCAUUACAAAAAAUCCGAUUCGAGAAUAGCAGUUAAGUUGCAGCCCGGCCUGCUAUCAUCUCUGCCUUUGCCAUUCUGGGCCAGUUUGCAGGAGUAUCAAGCCUGGAUCUCGGAAUGGAAGGGAAGGAGAGACGUGUGUUUGGUUUCUUGUGGUCUUUGAUAUAUCUGAACAGAAUUCUGCAGUUGCUUAUUGAAUGCUGUCUCGCUUGAAUUGCCUGAAGAAAGAGCUUCCAUCCUCUGUCCAAAUUUGCAAGCAGUUGCAAAUGUGGAACGCCAUGGCCAAUGUACAGUUUUUGGAGCAUUUUGCAAUUCAGUUAACAAAAUGUCCUAGAGUAUUGCACCCUUGGACUAUACUGAUGACACUGGUAAUAAUCCGUGUUAAUGCAUGUCGUGAGUGUCAUGAACGAUGAUUGCCAGCGGAAUAAAAGGAGCAACUCCCAUUUUCAGUGCACCGUGUCGAUCAUGUGUACUCCAUUCCUUGAAGCUUUAUUUGCAAGUUUCGAAACUAGAGAUGAACUCAUUUUGUGCAGGUCGAUCCUUUGUUUGACUAGCAAUGCACCUAAGAUUUAAUUCAUGUUCAUCUAGCGGACAGGCAAAAAAUUCUGUACAGAAAUAUUCGUUCAAAUUCCAGCUUUUGAAUUUUUCAGAAUUAUUAUACUGUAGGAGAGUUUGGUGGGCCAAGUCAGCUUACAUGGGCCGCAGCCCAUAACGAACGAUGGAGACAAAGAGAGUCAGAAGAAAGGAGAGCUCAGAUCGGAGAAGAUGGUUUCCUCCGUUGGAGAACUGUAAUUCAAGGUACACGGCUCAUGUAACAUGAGUUUUCGGUUUGACACUCCUUGUCUACAAGUUACAUUGCAAAAAAAUACAAGUGUUUCUUAUGUACAAAAGAGGUCUCCCAAUCCCUUGCAAUCAGUUAAAGGUAGUAGCUUCGUAGUCUAGCUCAAAGGCGUGAUAUUCCUCGAUGCACCCACCCUAUCUGCCAAUUGGGAUUUAGGAUUUUUACCAUUGAUGGCACCACAUUUAAAAUGAACAGCUCAGUUGCUAUGUAAGGUCACCACAAAUCAAGUAAAUGAGCUUAAAACUUCCAAACAUAACAAUAUGGAUAGCUUACUAAGGUACUGUAGCAUCAUAAUUCCAACAAGUAGAUCCUAAAUUUGAUCAAAAUACAUUACAAAUAGUUCAAAUAAAAUAACUGCAUUACAAAAAUACCAUCUUAAGGUAGUUUGGGUCUGCCUGAUCUUACAUCAAUAAAAGAUUGCAAAAGCGGUUCUUAUAAGAUCUUGAAUUGAUAAGAGGUUACAAAAUAGUUCAAAUAAGACAUUGUCAACGUGGCCAUGUUUUGCUGCUUGAGGAAAUCUCCAGGUAGUUUGGGUGUGUGUCGACUUUCUGAAGAUGGUGGUUCCGUCCUCCUGUGUUGCACUGCGUCGUUUCUGUCAAAACUUGGAAUGAAUCAGAAAGGUAAAACAUCAUGGACACUCUGCAAUUUCGGACCAUUUUGCAAUUCAGUUACUAAUUUCUGGAGUUCCUUUUCUUUUUUGAGCAAAUAAUGUGGCAACAGAUUACAGGAUGCUAGAAAGUGAACGUUUUAAAUAUAUUGGUAGGAUCGAAAAAUAAUUUGAAAAUGCAAAAAGUAAUUUGCAAUAUUUAAAAUUCAGUUAUUUGUAUUCUGGCACGAAAAUGUACAAAUGCAUGGAUGCACAUAAAAACGGAUCCGGUAAUUAAUAAGGUGUUUUCAUCUGCAUGUAAGUACUAGUACGAGUUUUAUCUAGCAGUUAAUAUCAGCGCGUCCUUGUGAUCGAAUCAAUUAAUUGGGGUAAUACUAGUUGAGUAGAUAUGAUCAGGCCUGGAAGGAAUGUACCUCUUGGUGCACCUGAUUGGAAUCGGACGCUUCGCUGGCAACAAGCUAGAUCUGAAAUAAAAAAUGGAAAUGAUUAGCGGUCAUGAGUAUCAUACUAAGAUGAGCAUGGAGGUAGCAGUACGUACCACCGUCACCGUGAUAUUGUUGGGAUGGACCUCGACUGCCUGCCUCAACGCGGCCUCUCCCUUCUCCCGCGUGACACUCGCACACCUGUAAAAGGCUAAUCGGACUUCGUCAAGACAAGGGAGGUUCCCGAUGCUGCCAAUGUCACGCUCGAACUUGGCACCACUGCACUCGUCGCGGAUGUAAUACACAACACAUUCAAGGCUGGGCAUGGCUCCCUGCAGGAACCUGGCAGAUGCAGUCGUGAGGUAGUAUCUUAGCUUGGGAAAUGCACCGCCACCCAUGAUGUCAGGAAUGAUGAUAUCAUCAUCAGUCUGCAGGUUGAGGUAAACGAGCUCUGGGAACCUCCCGAGGACCUCCAUAUCCUGCGUGUCCACGGCAUCCGGUCCCACCGUCAAGUGAUAGAGGUUCGGCACACUUGAGGAAUUUAUCCACGUCGGCAGUUUUUCAAAUGCGACUUGCAGCUCCAGACCACGGAGGUGCCGAGAGAGCAUGUAGCCUUCGCAAUUGGUGCGGUCAACACACGGCCACGAGGAAGCUUUAACUUGUAUGGCUUGGAGCUUCUGCAGAUGCUCUAGAGAUUUCAUCAUAUUCUUGAACAAUAUACUAUCAACUAUUGCGUCAUCGGAUUUUUCAAACCAAGCACUGUACUCUCACUACAAGGUUUUCACUCUUGUGCCACGGAAAUGUUAGCCACAAGAUGAAUUCGGAUGCAAUAGAUAGGGUAUACUGCAACAUUAUUCGGUGUUGGUUGCGAUAUGGGGUCUGGUGGUUGCAAUAGCGGGUAAUGUUGCAACGGAUUUGUAUUGUUGUGUUUUCAAUUAUUGGGGUUGCGAUAAUUAUGACAUAUCGUCCCGAUAGAUGUUUGCGUUGCCUUAAGUUCUGCAUUAUUGCCACUUGUUAUGUAAGGGUUGCAAAAGAGCAUUUGAUACAGCAACAAUCGUUGGCCGUCGCGAAGGACCUAUUCGAUAUAACAACGCCAACGGUACUUGCUGCAAAAGGAGUUUCUAUGGCAACCAAUAUUUCCUGGUUGCGAACGACCCAUUAGAAAUAGCAACGUAAAGCUGAAUGGUGGCAAACGUUUAUUGGAUAUAGCAACCAAAAUCAGAAUCGAUGCAAACGUGCCAUUGGAAAUGGCAACAUGACGUAGUCGUUGCAGAAACAUAUUUUUUAUAGCAACGCAACCCUUAAUGGAUGCAAGAGAGUUUUCGAUAUAGCAACCAAAAUCAGAAUCGAUGCAAACGUGCCAUUGGAAAUGGCAACAUGACGUAGUCGUUGCAGAAACAUAUUUUUUAUAGCAACGCAACCCUUAAUGGAUGCAAGAGAGUUUUCGAUAUAGCAACCAUGCUCUUACUGGGUUGCAACAAUCGAAGUUCUAUUGCAACACAUGUAAGCGGCCGCUAUUUGGUAAGGCAAAAAAAAAGAAAAAUUCCCAACCCUUUUUUUUAUAUGGGACCGAAUCGAGUUCUGUUGUCCACCAAGUGGAGAAACGGCGGGGAGAUAACGGAGACAGGCACAGUGUGCCGGCGGAAUUAUGAAUUAGUUGCACAUUUGUGAACAUGACAUUAAUUUGAUCUGCGAAGGCACAUAUUUAUGAAGGUCAUCCCGCUCGUGUUUGCCGGAAGCCCGCAACUGGCCCAGCCCAACUGACGCACAGCCCAGUUGAAACAAAUGUUCAAGAACAGGCCCAACGAUGUAAACAGGAUAAAAAAAUUGUUUUCCCCUCAAUAGCAAGCAAGAAUUGAUAGCUCAGGUGGCCAGCAGGUGCAUCCUUGUGGGGAAGAGAUGGGUUGUGAGUUCGAUCUGUGCUUCUCGCGAAUUAUUUAGUUGUGGGUCUUCAUUUUUCCAGAACAGCAGCUGAACCGGCCGGUUUGGCCUAAACUGUCCGGUUCGCCGUUCUUCAGUAAAACCACCCGGUUUUCUCCGGUUCAUUUUUAAAGAACAGCACGUACAAGGCACGCACACAGCCUUCUUGUCUAACCCUGACUAUACAAUGUGUGUCCAACACCUAUUAGGAUUGCUCAUGUGAGUAUACCUACAUGCAGACUAGAAUUUGUGUCCAACACCUAUUAGGAUUGCUCAUGUAUACCUAGAUGCAAUUUGUGUCCAACACCUAUUAGGAUUGCUCAUGGUACUGCAUCUAUAUAUAUUGGACAAACUUGCUUGUAAUUAAACAGCAACCCAGAAAAUCGAGAGGAGAAGAAAAGCAGACGCACGUACGAUACGUGAGACGACGCCUCCCGCAGGAAUCGCGCGCCCAGGUAUGAGAUCGAUUAUCCAUAUAUGUUCUUGAAUAUAUGAUUACAGCCAUCUUCGGUUUACAAUUCAUAGGAACAGGAACUGAAUAGAAUGCCCGGACCACUCAAAUCCUAUGGAAACGUACAGGACUUCACUAGCUGUUAGCACCUUUAAUUAGUUGCCUCAACUAGCAGUUAGCUUUGAACCCAGCUCACGAAGGAGUAAUCGAAGGGGCUUCAUGAAUCGCUAGGAGGGCUUCACAGGUACCCACCGGACUAGAUGUAGCCAGCUUAACUUUGAAUUAGCACCUGAAACCGCCCCCAAAAAGAACAUCUUGGUGAAAACUGGAUGCUCCAAAUAUAUUCACAUCUCCCUUACUGAAAGUAAGUGGCAACUUAAAACUACUGCUACAAUUUUGUCUAAUUCAAUUCCUACUGUAGCCAGGUAAAUCUCAGCAACCAAUUUUACAUCCAAUAGCAUUUCGCCAUGUUUGGAAAACACAAAGUUCAGAUAAAAAAGGGGUCUGUCUAGUUGACAGGCGCCUGUUUUUGUGUUUGAAAACAGGUGCCUGUUUUCAGUGUAAAAACCAGGCGCCUGGUUUUGUUACUGAAAACAGGCAGAUUCCCUGAUCCAUAGAUUUAUAAUCUAAUGGCCAAAUACAAAAGACACUUCCUGUAAGUCCUCCCUCCAGCCUAUUACUACAAAAUAAGCAACACAUACCCCCACGUGUAGCCCCAAGAAAAUAUAACUUCAAAAUUUGUAAUAACGGAUCCCCAGCAGCAUAAUUAUGUGCAUGUUAUCAUAACAAAGACCCUCAAUUCUGGUCCACCACAUAUGUCACAAAACAGAAUAAAACUAAGUACCACAUGACUGAUAGAAAAAGAGACUACUACUAGGAUGGUGGUCUUGGAAGGAUUCAUUUUUCUGAAGGCAUGUUGCCAUGCUGAUGUUGGGCUAUGCAGGUAAAAAUAGAGAAAUCGAUGCCAGAUGAGCCUGACCAAGUCACCUCUUAAAUCUCAGCUCAAAGAAACACUACAUCAUUCCCCUGCAUUUGUUACACAAGACACAUUUUAGGCUUGGUGGGCAUUCAGCAAAAAGAAACAUCAUUGGUUACAUAUACAAAUUAAGUUAUAGAAGGUAUGAAAGUGUACUGCUCAAGCAGAAACAUGCAUGUAUCAUUAGCAAUAAAAAAGCUUCCAUGAUCUAUGAGAUGGCAAUAUAAACAGCUUCGAAACAGACUGUAUAAAUGAAUAUACAAGCCGCAGUUUCAUAAAACUUGCAAUCAGUAAAAUAUGGGCGCAAUUUGAACUUAACGGUAGUGCAAAAUUAAACAGAUUACAUAAAAAUAAAUUACAUGCCACAAAUUAGGACGGGUAGAAUUUGAAUUAAAUGGCACUACAUAUUCAAACAGUUUUUUUGCUUCUAAAUUGAACAGAUCAGGGUAAGAAACAUAACUCUCUACAGAAAUGAGUUAUAAUUCACAGGAAAAGAAAAGCUAGUACUAAGACAAGAAACUGACCAGGUCUAUGAAUUUGCUGGACUGAUACAUUUCUCUCAAUGGUAAAGCAGGUUGUUCAGAUAGUAUCGCCCGUAAAACUGGCUGUUGAGAGAGUGAAUUAACAGAAACUCUGUCCAUUUUUCUUUACCAGCACUAUGAGUUUCAACCCAAAUAAGUAUCAACCCAAAUAAGUUUGUCAAUAUAUAUAUGGUUAAUUUACAUAUUCACGUUCAUUAAUUUGAGAAGAGGGAAACAUUUGUUUGGCAUGUGUUAAAUCAGUUGGUCGCUCUUUUUCCAUCGCUGCAGGAACUGUAAAUUAAGAUGUCACACGAUGCUGAUAGGAGUUGGAUGCUAUUGCCACAUACAGAUGAAAGCGUGGCAAGCCGGUUUCCAGCAAUUCAUUGGGAAAGAAUUUCAAGGGAACUAUCCAGGCCAGACUGCAGCAUGUCCAUGUCGUAGGUGUCGUUGCCUACUGUACAUAACAAAAACAGAGGUUGAACAGCACUUGCUGACAAAAGGGUUUGAUAAGGAUUUUAUUAAACAGAAACGUCGCAUUGCUGAACCUAUGGAUGAUGAUUGUGACUUCAGUGAAGCCGAAGCACAAGUCGAUUCAGGCUCUACCAAAGAUCUUCUUACAUCACUAAUCAGUGGUGCUAUAGAUGGAAAAAUAAUAGGAAGUGGUGAUAAGGAGGAGCCAAAUGAAUCUGCAAAGAAAUUCUUCAACUUAAUGCAAGAAGCGAAGAAAGAAUUGUACCUAGGUUGCAAGGAGGCUACCAAAGUAUCUUUCGUUGUCAGGCUAUUUCAGAUUAAGUGCAUGUUCGGUAUUAGCAACCAAGGCAUGGAGCAGAUAAUUCACUUGUUCAGUCUUUUACUCCCAGAAGGACAUUGUGUUCCAGAUAGCUUGGAUAAAGCUCGAAAAGUAGUUCGAGAUCUUGGUCUGGACUACGAAAAGAUUCAUGCUUGUGUGAAUGACUGUGUGUUAUUUCGUGGAGCCUACAAAGAUAUGGACGAGUGUCCAACAUGUGGGGAGAGUAGGUGGAAAACGAGAGAUCUUGAUGGAGCAAAGAAGCCGCUUCCUCGUAAAAUACUUAGGUAUUUUCCACUUGUUCCUCAUCUGCGAAGAUUAUAUAUGAAUGAGAUCACAUCGUUGCAUAUGCAUUGGCACAAGGAAAAAUUAGUGCAGGAUGGGAAAAUGCGGCACCCAGCCGACUCACUGGCAUGGAAGCACGUUGACGAGCAGUAUAAAGAAUUUGCAUUGGAUCCACGUAAUGUUAGGUUGGGACUUGCAUCAGAUGGCUUCAAUCCUUUUGGGAUGCUCAAUGUGACUUACACUACAUGGCCGGUGAUCCUAAUUCCUUAUAACCUGCCUCCUUGGUUGUGCUUGAAACAAUCUUACUGGAUGAUGUCCAUGCUGAUACCUGGGCCUAAAUCUCCAGGAAUGAACAUUGAUGUGUAUUUGCAGCCUCUGAUCGAUGAGCAUAAAUUGCUAUGGGAAAAAGGAGUUGAAGCAUGGGAUGCGAAGGUGAAGAAGAAUUUUACUCUACGUGCGCUACUGCUUUGGACAAUAAACGAUUUCCCUGCAUAUGCGAUGUUAUCUGGUUGGAGCACGAAAGGCAAGUUUGCUUGUCCUUAUUGUCACCAGUAUACUGAUCACCUUUGGUUAAAAUUUGGUUCGAAGCAUUGCUACAUGGGGCAUCGCCGUUUUUUGCCCUUGGACCACAGGUGGCGAAGAAACAAGGACAACUUCAAUAACAGGUAUGAAACCAGGGAGCGUCCGGUGCCGCUCAGUGGUGAGGAGGUAUUGCAGCAGUACACUAGUUUUGAGCAAGUAACUUUCGGAAUUGGUUCAAGGAAGAGGAAGCAGCAUGAUGAAGAUAAUAGGUGGCACAACUGGAGGAAGAAGAGUAUUUUUUUUUUAGCUUCCUUAUUGGAAAUCAUUGCUUAUACGCCAUAAUUUAGAUGUGAUGCAUGUUGAGAAGAACAUAUGUGAGAGCUUGAUGGGGACAUUGCUGGGUAUAGAUGGUAAAUCUAAGGACGGUGAGAAUGCUCGACUUGAUCUGCAACAUAUGGGUAUAAGGACGGAUAUGCAUCCAGAGAUCACCGAUGGUAAAUACACUUUGCCGCCAGGGUUGUACUACUUAGAGAAAGAAAAGAAGCAAAUCAUGUGCAAAUUUCUACAAGAGGUGAAGAUGCCAGAUGGUUAUGCCUCAAAUAUCAGGCGAUGUGUUGACGUCGCCGGUUGCAAGCUUGUUGGAGUUAAAAGUCAUGACUACCAUGUUAUGUUACAAAAACUUAUACCCUUGGUGGUACGCCAUAUAUUGCCUGAAGUUACAGCGAUCCCAUUGAUCCAGCUCAGCAGCUUCUUUAACUCAAUAUGUUCGAAGGAGCUGGAGGUGGCUGAACUCGAAAAACUUAGCAGUUUGAUUUCAGAGACCCUUUGUCGCUUAGAGAUGAUAUUCCCACCGGCGUUUUUUGAUAUUAUGGUGCAUUUACCAGUUCAUGUAGCUGAAGAGGCUAGACUUGGAGGCCCGGUUUGCUAUAGAUGGAUGUAUCCAGUAGAAAGGUAUCUACGUACCCUGAAAGGCUAUGUGAGGAACAAAGCGCUGCCAGAAGGUUCAAUAGCAGAGGGAUAUAUCUCGGAGGAGUGCACUACAUUCUGUUCUCGGUUCUUUGAUGACAUUUCUACAAAGGAGAACAGGGCAGAUCGUCAUGUACAGAGCGCUGAUGAACCACCUUCUGGGCUAAGUGUAUUUGGGAAAUUGGACUUCGAUCGUGCCAUAGUAAGUCUCGAGGCUGUACCUGAUUCUGUCUUGCAGAAGAUGAGGUACUACAUACUUUCAAACAGUGAAGAGACCAACGAUUGGAUAGAGUAAGUUUCAUGUGAAAUUUUUAUUAUUAGAAAUUUCUAGUAUUUAUGUGCUGACUAUACAUUUAAUUGAGGAGAUUAUUAACAAAUUUUCAGACAGCAUAUGGCUGAAUUGAGGAAAACCAGCACGCACAAAGUUGAAGAAAGGCACGAGAAACAAUUUGUGUCUUGGUUUGAACGUAAAGUGAGCGAUAUAUCUCGGAUCAUUUGUACCUUGUCAAUUUUUUAUGUAUAUUACUAAUAUAUUUCACAUGUAACUGCAGAUUAGGAUACUGCAUGAACAGGGAGAAGUCGAUGAAAAUCUAUAUAAUCUAUCUCGUGGUCCAGAUCAUCGAGUUCGUGUGUCCAAUAGGUGUGUCAUUAAUGACUUUCUCUUUCAGACCAUUGAUCUAGAGAAAUCCCUAGUCACUCAGAACAGUGGUGUUGUUGUCAUGGGUGAUGGCAUGGAGUGGUACGGAGUUCUUAAAAGAAUCAUUACCCUUGAAUUUCCUGACGAGAAGGAAGUCGUAUUGUUCGAGUGCGAGUGGUUUGAUGUUCCUGGAGCAAAUAGGACGAAAUCAAGAGGGUUCAAUAAAGAUCAAUAUGGGAUCAUCGAUAUUGAUACCACUUUGCGUCGAUAUGCAGACGAGCCAUACAUCCUGGCCACACAGGCAGAGCAGGUGUGUUAUGUGAAAACCGCUAAGAGAGCUAAUUGGUGCGGCGUCCUUAGACUGAAACCUAGGAACCUGUUUGCAAUGCCUGAAGGAGAAGACGGUUCUAAUAUUGUUGCUGAUACCGAUGCUGACUCACUCGUAGUAGGAGUGGAACAUAUGAAUGUUCAACAUAAUCAAGAUGAAUUGACAGUUUGGCGUAGGACCGACGUGGAAGGGGUCAGUGGUGAUGCUUCAGUUAUUGAGAAUGCGCGUGCUUCACCCAUGCCUGAACCUGGUGAUGAGGAGAUAGCAGACGAAGACCUUGAUCCUGACGACACCUACAUUGAUGAUGGAGUUGUCGCUCCAGUUGAUAUCCAAGACGAAGAUGACCAAGAUUUUUUUGUGUAAAUCUUAGAUUGGUUGGCAUUUCUUUUGAGUUUCGAGUUGACAGUUUGAAGUCUUUAAGGAUAUCUUUACUUUUAAUUAAUCAUAUAAACCUUUCAUAUAUUUUUUGUGUACACCAUUGACUGUUCUGUAUUUCGACGAGGCAAGAGCCCAAUCUACUAGCAAAAAGGGCCGGUUAAGAAAAAAGGCAUGUUUAGAUCUAAGCUUUUCAUAUAUUUUUUGUGUACACCUUAUACUGUUCUGCAUUUCUAUCAAGGUUUUUAAGUUGACAAUUUCAGAAAUGGACGAGACUAGGCAACCUAUAUAUUAGAACUAGGUAACCUAUAUAUUAGAACCUGGUAACCUAUAUAUUGCAAAAACAGAUCUCUUUUUUUCUGCAAAAACACUGAGAAAACCAGAUUCCCACUCCUGUAUAUCAGAACAAGGUAACCUAUAUUUUUGGUCAACACCAAAAAACAGGACUUCCAUUUCCUCUUUCACAUGUUUUUCCUGGCAAAAAAAUAGUGACCAUCUGUUUAGUAAUCUUAUUUCAACCAUAAAAGGCUAAUGGUCUUUCCAGUGAUAACACACCUCUGAAUCUCCAAAAGCAGCAUCAACAUCAUCAAAGCUAGUUUGGUAUUUCUCGUAAAAAACAGGUGGCUUGUAGCCUUUUUUGAACCAUGGAUCUUUUAGUUGAGGGAUAGUUACGAAAACAGUAAACAGAACCAACCAUUGUUGGCCAACAAUCACAAUACUACAAAUAAGUUCAGUUAUAGGAAAAUGAUUUCUGAAAUUGAACAGCACCCAAAGCUUUAAAAUUGUACUCUAUAUUGUCCUAAAUUCCUCGAAAAGUACUUAUUAAAAAUCAUGGGCAUCGCACUUAUAGGCUCCACAGUUACAAUAACAACCAAUAAUAUCAGCAAUUACAGUCUUGAGUCACAUCUCCUUAGGUUCAAAACUCUUGAAAUAAACCUGUAGCGCUUGACGUGUUCUAAAGACCAAAACCAAGGAAUUACAGUCUUGAGUCACAUCUCCUCCGAGUAUAAUUUUUUACUAUGAACUACAACUACUACGAAACAAUAGUUUCAGACCACACAUCGCGGAAAGGAAUCGAUCAAAUUCAUAGCCAGAGGGAUUAUGCUGGCGACAACAUCUUUACGUUAAACAUGCAAUUUCACCAAAAGUAAUUAUUUUAUCAAGAAAUUACUAAUGAUUGAAUUACCGUAGGAACUAUCUGAGACGGGGUGGGGUGAGGGUGUAGAUGGGUACCUUCAAGCGGCGGUGCUUGGCGGCCUUCUCGUGUUUAACAGUGCUCAUGACCCUGUAGUCACGGGUGUGAGGGUAGGCGAACGGGGCGGCGUCUCCUCGCCUUGGGUAGCGGUGACGCGGGGAAGCAGCCGGGGCCUCUGAGGCUGCAGCGUCGUCCUCGAAUGAGAAAGGGAGGGGGGCGAAGGGCAGGGAUCUUCGGCCUCGAAUGAGAAAGGGAGGUGGGCGCAUACGAGAUCGGAGAGGAGAGAGGCCGAGAUUGGGGAUGGCGGUGCAGCGAGAAACUCCAAUACAAUCAAGCUUCAGGAACUCCAACGCGAAAUUGGGAGAGGAGAGACGAUUCGGGGAGGAGUUAACCAUGGCUUCUGCCGUCGCCGGCCUUCGGGUAUGUGUUUGAGGUGGCCCUCCGGAUCUGAGUUUGGAGGGACGGAGGUUGGAGAGGACGGGAAGGAGAGGCGACCCGGCGGCGCGAUGGCCGGAUCCGGCAGGGGGGAAGCGAUCGGCGCCCGCGCAGCUCGGGGAGACGGGAGGCAAGGAGAGCAGUGGGAGCAGAGGAGGGGAGGCCGUGGUGGCCCUGCCGGUUGGGGUGCCUAGCUCUGUGGCGAUGCGGCCGAUCCAGCGAGUAGGAGUUUGGGGAAGGGGCGGCGGCCGGUGAGGGAGAACUCAUCGGCGUGAGGGAAACGAGCGGCGGCAUUUUGUGCGAGACUGGGGAUUCUACGAGAUUGGGGAUCGAUUCUGUGAGAGAAAAACGAUGUGGUCAGGAAAAAAAAACCGUGGGGUUCACGUGGGUGCCUUCUGAUUUUGGGUCACUGCCUUGUGGAGCCCACGUCUGGAGGGCCCACGCACCAGUGAAACACAAUCGCAAAUCACAGGUAAAAAGUGAUCGGAGUGAGAAUCAGAGAACACCAGGAUCAAUUCUUCGAUUGAUUUAUUUCACCAGUAUGGAUGUAGUCAUUUUUUGCGCAAACUGUGACGCGGGUUUAAGCUAUUCUCUCCGAUACAUAUUAGUUGUUAAAAUAUUACAUGUAUCUUUGUUUGAUUGGACCAAAUAGGAUUUCUUACAAGAGGUUGGAGUGGAUGUAAUUUUUCCUAUAGAAUGUAUAGAAUAUAGUAAAAUGAAUCUUUAGUAAAAGUUCCUAUAUGGUUUGAGAUAAAUAUAGAGCCUAUAGCAACGAAGAUUUUCCUAUAUGAAAUAUAAGACAUUCAUGCGUAAACUAGUCAGAAGUCUAAACCAUCAAAAUAAAACGGCAAUCUCGUAAAUUUUCCACUCAUACAAAAAUCCCCUUAGCAAUAGUUAGUCAACGAUACUAGGCUUGACCAUGACAGUAAGACUAAGGUGUUGAUUUCAGCGAUUAGGAGACGAAGAUUUGAUUGCGACCGGCUCUAAAAAUUUAAAUUUUCCAACAUACUUUAGGUGUUUAUUACACUUGCAAAUAUAUUGCAUACUCGUACGACGAUUAGUAUGAUCCGUGCCGAUGGAUUAGUUUCUUUUGGGCUUCUCUGUUUCUUGGUGCAGGCUGCAGUUCCUUCCGUUUCCUUUCUUUGGCGUAUUUGUAUGUGUUUGUUUUCCUUGUUAUAUAAAGUCGGGUAGCGUUUGCUGUCAAAAAAAAAAACCGAGUCCAUGACGGCCGUUCGGCAUCCCUUCCCCUCCGCACACACACCACCUCAGCUCCUUCGCUACGUUACCCAGACUCCCCCACCACGCCACUGACACCCCGCCCCCACCACAGAUCCCCAGCCGCCAUGGACCACGACCUCAAGGACUGCCUCCUCCUCCCGCCCCGCGCCGCCUCUAACGCGCCUCACCGCGGCGGGCGGCAGCAGCGUCGUCGGAGUCGUCGCCGGCGGCAGUGGAGGGAGCGGCGUGUCCAUCGACGUCAAUGGCCUGAAGAAGCGCGGCGUUAGCUCGUUCCCUUUUUUCUCUUGGCUCGUGUCAAAUUUCAAAACAGGGUCCCUAAACAGCCUUUAGGGGCUCCCCUCAAAUUUUAGGUUCCUAAAAUUUACCAACGUCUUCAGCAGUACCCCCUAUUCCACACCCCUUAUUUCGUUUAUGACAUGUGAGACCUACUUGUCAACGAGAGUUGUCUUUUUUUAUAUAUUUUCUUUCUUCUUCUCCCUUUCUAUUCAUGACGCAGCCCAUUGCUAUCUCUUCCCCGUUCCUAUCAAUCCCCACCAUCGGCACAAACCAUGGGCAGGAGGCCGGCCUGAUCUGCCAGGGUUCGACGGGCAGAAGGGUUGGCCGGAGCUGGGCAGGGGAGCGGAGCCGGCGGAGGGCCCCGUGGGCAGGGGAGCCGAGCCGGCGGAGGGCGCCAUGGGCAGGGGAGCGGAGCUCUUUCGCGCCGCCUCUGGUGAUUUCCCGGCGUUUCUACCCCUCGUCGACCAUGUUUCUGUGGCUCGGUAGCUCGCUGAUUUUUUGGGUCUUACCGGUGGCUCGGCUGUGGCGGAGACGGCAGAGGCGAGGUGGGUGGUUCUAUCCUUUUGCUUCGUCGGCGGUGAGGUCCUACCGGCUGACCGGUGAGUUUGCUCCUUCUAUUUCACUCGUUCGGUUCGUUUUGCUCUCUGGAUGAUUUGCUCCCCCUUUUGGUGUAGUUUUCAGUACUCCCUCCGUUCCUAAUUUUCAGUACUCUCUCUGUUCCUAAUUUUCAGUACUCCCUCUGGUAUACUCCCUCAGUUUUGUCUUGCCCAAGAAAAUUUUCAGGCCCACGACUUGCCGCCGGUUUUUCCAUAUAAAAGAUCCAUAACCACCCCGAAUUAUCUCCCCCGCCCCAACACUUUCCCUGCUAAACAAGCGCCAUAGGAGACGAGAUAAUUACGAUCGAGAAGGCAAGUCUCCAUCGCGUUCGGUUCCUCCUCUCUGCCCUGCUUGCUUCUGCUACCAAGGCUUCGAUCCAUGGCGUCUAUCUCCAAUUCCAGAAACACCGAUGCCGACACAACCCGACGAGCUGGUACGGCCCAAACCCAUGAGGUCGAAUUUGAGGAAGAACCGAUGAUCCCAGGAAGCAUAAGGUUUGUAUCUGCCAUAAAAACACUUUCCAUAGUUUAUCGCAAAUUGAUUCUCUAUCUGGAUUGUUGUUCUUUUUGUUUUCAAAUCGAUUGAUCGUGACGUUUCAAUUUAUUCGUCUGCUCGAUCAUUAGGUUUUCGAUUUUCCCAUCCAUGGAUCAUCUAAAUUUUUUCCCAUCGAUGCAUGUCAUAUUCAUGUAUGUCGUAUAGGACAGAUUCAUGUAUACUGCCAGUCGAUUGAUGUGUGAUUUUUUUGUGAACAUAUAGGGCACCCAAGUCAGGUGAGAUAUGGACUAUAACCGUGCACUGCAUGAGAGCACCAGGACUGCCUGAACGGAUCGUCCGAGGACAAAUUGACAAGUCCGACAUAUCAUUUGAAGCCUUGGUAGGUUUCAAACAGCAGCUUGGGUAUUCUGCCAGGGACUACCUAUACUACAAAAAGAGACAUGGCCGUGAUAUAGCAACAGUGGUAGCGAUUGAUUUCCCCGCAGAUGUAGUCCGAAUGAUGACGGAGCUGGCUGAAGAGAAGGAAAUCAGGGCUAUACUGAGAGCAGACGAACAACAUGACAAGCAUGUCCAGAUUACACCCAUUAAGCGUCCAAGGGAGGGUACGCCUGAUGUCGAUGAUGAUGCUCCUGGUUCUGAUGAACCAAUAGAUGCCUAUAAAGAUUGGCUUCUCGAGAGGGAAACACAAGGUUUGGUGUUGCCAUGCAUAUAUAUAAUUAUCUACACACUGUGCUUUAGUAGACUGCACUCUUCAUGACGUAUAGUUUGGACUUCGCAGAUCUACAUGAUGAAUUCAGGAGAGAAGCAAUCACAGCAUACGAAGAAUGGUUAAGGGAAGAAGGGCUUCUGAAGGAAAUUAGUAAUUAUUUUGUACUUCGAUCUUAUUUAUUAAUUAUACAAUAUGUGAAUGUACUAACUGUUUUUCUUUCAAAAACAUUCAGUGGCUUACAAGACAUGUGUUCCGACCGAAGAACCUACACAAGUAGAUGAUGACAGCCAAGAGAGCAAUGAGAGCAAAGACAGCAGCACAACGCCACUGCAACAAUGGCCAAGUCAUGCUAGACACAACAAGGAUAAGGCAAAAGGUUUCUAAAGCUUCCUCAAUAUAUCUUUACUGAUUUUUAUAGUGCAAUUUUUGGUUCUUCAACAAUUAAUUAAUCUGCAAGUGCAAUUCUGCAUCUUUCAUUUGAUGUAGCUCCCAACAAACGCGGACGAGGUACGUUGAAAGGGCUAGCUGCGUCACGAAAGAGAUUGAAGAGUCGCACUCAAAAACUUUCAAUUGAAUUCUCCCCAAACCUUGGUGGUCCCUGUGGAGAUAACGCACGAACAUUCGUGGAUGAGGUGGUGACGUACACCAGGUUAUCUGCUCCACUAAUUGGAGUUAAACGCUGGAAAGAUAUACACCAAGUCGUGAAGAACAAAAUAGUAAAUGAUGUAAUGGUAUGUUCAUAGUCCAUCAGUUUCUGUUUAUUCGAUCAUUUAAAAUAUUCGGUCUCUCAUCUGUUCAUUUUUGUACAGCGUGGAUGGGACCUGGCGAACAAAGCCGAUGCAAAGGAAAUAAUAUUGCAGAUUGCCAAAGAGCGCUACAAAGGAUGGCGAUCUUCUUUGAGUGCUACCUACAGAGCGUACAAGAAUUACGAUGACAGAAUGAGACACACGCCUAAAGACCUACACAUUCUGGAGUGGCACUAUUUGAUCCUCUACUUUGGAUCUUCAAAAUUCAAGGUCAUCAACUUCUUCCUAAAAUUAAGAACUCAAGCAGUCGUGCGGUUUUUGUUGCUUAACAGUAAUUGUUCAUUUGUUGCAGAGGGUUAGCAGCCAAAACUCCACUAAUCGUAAACAGAUGAAGACCCAACAUGUGAUGGGUUCAAAACCUUUCUCUCAGUGCAGCUGGGAACAAGUAAAUAUUAGUUGCAUUUUUUAAAACUUCAAAUUCAACCAACAGUGAUAUGUACUGACGUUCAAUAUUGCCUUUGUAGAGAGAUGAAAAUGGUGUCGAGCCACGUCCCGUGGAACUUUGGCAAAUCACUCACAGCAAGAAAGGAAAAUGGUCAAACGACGUUUCUGAAAGAAUUUACGUGAGUAUAAAAUUCUUCAAAUUAUUGCUUCACAUUUAAAUUCAAAUAUUCUUUCACAACAUGACCAAAAUUAUGAAAUGCACUUGUUUCUUUCCCUCAGUUAAAUGCACGCGAAAAGUUGGGUGCGGCAAAUUCAGAAGAGUUGCUGGAAGGAGAAUCAAGAACGAUGAGGCUCACAGCAGGUGAGGAAGACAUUGUUUUGCGGUCUGCAUACAAGGAGACAACAAGAACCAAAACAACCAAGUUACAUGGUCAUGGAUAUUUGUCGACCUAUCCAACCAAAAACCAACUGCUUCAAGAAAGACUGGAACUACAAGCCCGUGAGGUUGAAAUAUUAAAAGAAAAGCUUGCAAAGGAAGCUGCUGAAAGGGAAGCAGAGAAGGAAGACCUAAAAAAAUCCAUUAGAGAAGAAAUGAGGCAAGAGGUUCAUGCUUUGUUGGCUCAGCACGGGUUAUCAACACUUGUCCAGAAGGUAAUCAACUUUGAUUUAUUAUGGCAAUGAACAUAUUUAAAUGGUUGUGAUCCACUCCUAUCCAUAUGAAAGCUAUCUCACCUGCCCUUUUUUGUAAACAUGUAGAGUGACCCUAAAACCAACAAUGCAGAACAUGAAGCUGCAACCAUUCAUGAAACAGAACAACACACACAAGAACCAUUGCCGAAGGUAAUGAAAUUGAAGAAUGUUUGCAACAAUCGUGGAUUUAUGCAUUUCGUUAGAGCUAACAAUCUGCACUGGCUAUGUAAUUUUGAAAUCAGCAUACGAUUUUUAGUAACUGCCAUCUUGUUUUAAAGCGUAGAGUACCCCUGCAACCAUUGAGGCAAGAGAACCUGCAGCUAUGAAGACAACAGAUACCUAUGAUGCAACACAACUUGAAGCUACAAAGACUAAGGAUAUAAAUGAUGCAAAGACAACAGGAACACACCCUCAGGUAAUGGCAUAUAACAAUGCUUGCAAGCAUCAAGGAUAUAUGCAUUUCAAUAUACAGUGCUAACAUUGUUCCAACAACUUUAAAAUGCCAGAAGCAGCCAGCAAUCACUGCCAAGACACAAAAAGAAAAUACGCCACCCACAAAUCGCAAUACUAAAUCUUCCAAAGCUAAAGGUCUGGCGUUCUCUAAGGAAGCAGCUAAGGGGCCACAUCAAACAUAGAUUACUCCACAGCAUUUGGCGUUACAGCGUGCUAAAACACGAUCAGCAAGCAAGUUCAAAGAUCAGGUUACUAGAACUAUGUUUUCUAAUGCAAAUCAAACUUUGCAUUGCCACUUCAGUUUUAAAUUUUGCUGCUGCUUAAUUGCAAGACAUGUUCUAUUUGGUUCAUGUAUCUCUUCAACAGGACAAUGAAGACCUAACGGGGCUAGAUGUUCCAUAAUCACAACACUCAAGAUUGGUGAUCCCAUGAAGGCUGCCAUGUUGUUCGAUUGGAUGAGUGGACAGUAAUUGCUAGGUUCCAUAGCUUCAUAUAUACAAUGUAUUUAUUAUGGAUAUGAUCGUUAUGUCCAUGAGAUUGUAAGAGUGAAUGCUGGAUUUAUUUCAACAGUGGAAUAUAUAUUUUUGCAUCAUUUCUAUUAUGGUCGUAUAAUUGCAAUUGCAGUUGAAUUACCAGUUAAACAUCCAAAACAAUCCGUUGCACCAGUCCUAGAUCAUACAACGUCGUGCCAUAUUUUGUUGCGAUGUAGAGCUUAUAGCAACGUCACAUUUUUCUGAUGUGCUAUCGGUGAUCAUUUUUUGUUUGAACCUGUAGCCACUCCUAUAAUUUUGUUGCCAUAGCCCUUAGGGGCCUGUUGCCUCGCAUCCCUCAGUUUGUUGCCCUAGCCUUUGCGCUUGUAGCCACUCCUAUAAUUUCAUUGACGUAGCCCUUUGGGCCUGUUGCCUCGCAUCCCGGAGUUCGUUGCCCUAGCCUUUGAGCCUGUAGCCACUACUAUAAUUUUGUUGCACUAUCCUUUGAGCCUAUAGCCAGACUCUUAGAAUGUAGCGACGCCAUGUUCCUUGUGGUUAUAGGCAGUCAGCCUACAGCAACGUGUCAUAUGACGUUGCGACAACAUGUAGGCCUGUUGCGAUGGCACAUGGUCUGUGGCAAUACCCUUUAGGCUAGUUGCAACGUGCGAUGUGUCAUUGCCAUACUAUGUAGGCAUGUUGCUACCUCUUAUGGAUCGUCGCGAUAUUCUUUAUACCUCUAGCCACGAGUCUUAUUUCGUUGUGAUAUCCUAUACGACUAUAGCCAUGACUCUUGUUUAGUUGUGAUAUCCUAUGGACUAUAGCCAUGCCUCUUAUUUCGUCGUGAUAUCCUAUACGACUAUAGCAACACCCAAGAGGGUUUCGCCACACCCAUAUAUCGUUGCAAAUUACUGUAUUGCUACCAUACUCUGGCGCCACAAUAAUGCUUUUUCACAACUAGCAUGGGUUGUUGCCAUUAGAUCUAUAGCAACUCCGCAAUACAACUUAUGCAUCGCAAAGAUCGUUGCAUAAAUACCCUAUUGUCACGCCUCCCUUAGUUGCAAUAAAGCAUGUGGUAUUUCGACACCCUAAAUUCGGUUGCGUUACCAUAUAGCAUCGGUGUUUCUUGCCACGCCUACCAACGAAAAUAUUUAGUUGCGAUUGCGCACUAUUGCAACGAAAAACCACUUAUUGCAACUAAAACCGGCCGUGGCUCCAGGGUGUAUGCCUUGUAGUGUCUCUCAACUCUGUCAGCUUGGCCAGUUCUUUCACAAUCUCCAAGGAGACAUAGGGCAACAAUAGUUCUUCCAGCAAAACCAGAUUACCGAUCCAGCCCGGUGCUCCUGUGAAAUCAGUAGGAAGGCAUAGGCACUUUAGCAGCCUCAACUGACCUACACUCUGUGGCAGCUCUUUUAUUCCAAUUUUUCUCAACUCUAGUACCUGCAAAAACCUCAGGUUGCCUAUUUCUUCUAGCAGUUCCGUAAUAGGUGUUUCCAAGAGCCCAAGGUACCUGAGCUGAAGUAGCCUUCCAAGAUUCUCAAGAUGAUAAUGACAAGUAUUCAUCAACCUACAGCUUUCCAUAGAAAGGACUCUCAACCCUUGGAAGCUUGAAAGAAAUGAUCCUCUCUUGACAUCACACAUGAUGGCAUUAAAUGAUCUCACUUGUCGUAUCUCUGUUUUAUCUGAAUUAGGCUCUUCGUCCAUGGCUAUGUUUUGAAGGGCUAACCUACGGACAUUGCUUUGUGAAGGUUGGUGUUCUGUGUUACUACUUCCAUGGAUAGUAACAAAAUUUUCUUCCUUUGACAAGUAACAGAUCAUAUCGAGCACCAGAUCAUGCACACGGCAAGCAUAUAUGAUG
rnacentral:lncRNA from 1 species